rnacentral:lncRNA from 1 species
GUCCUUUACACCGGACCUGUUAUUUCUGAGCCGAAAAAGGAGCCUUUAGAAGAACACGGAAUAUCGAAUUGGCUUGAGAAAUUCGAGCCAAGAUCAGUAGUGUUCUGUGCAUUUGGGAGUCAAUUGAUUCUUGAAAAGAAGCAGUUUCAAGAACUUGUUUUAGGCUUUGAACUGACUGAGUUACCAUUUCUUUUAGUUGUUAAGCCACCUCAAGGGACAAAUUCAGUAGAAGAAGCCUUACCAGAGGGAUUCAAAGAAAGGGUUCAAGAAAAGGGAUUGAUUCUUGAUUGUUGGGUGCCACAAUUGGAGAUUUUAAGACACAAAUCAGUUGGUUGUUUCGUAACUCACUGUGGUUAUGGGUCGAUGUGGGAGUCUUUGGCACUGUGUGAUUGUCAAUUGGUACUUUUGCCAAGGCCUAUUGAUCACAUUUUUAAUGCUAGGCUGAUGGAAAAACAACUUAAGGUUGGUGUAGAAGUGGAGAAAGACGAAAAUGAUUUGUUUACUAAGGAGAAUUUGUUCAAGGCUGUGAAAUGUGUGAUGGAUAAAGAUAGCCAAAUCGGUUGUCUUGUGAAAAAGAAUCAUAUGAAAUAGAAGGAACUUCUUUCAAGUCCUGGCUUCAUGAGUAACUACAUCGAUAACUUCAUUCAAGACUUGCAUGCACUUCUAGUUGAAAAGACCUAGAUAAUUAGCAGGGGUGGAUCUACGACAGACAAAAUCCAAUGUAUGUCUAAUCUAUUCAAUCAAUUGUUAUCCUAUUUUGAUAUUCAGAACUCAUAAGCUUAAAAUCGUGUAUCGAAUGUAACUUGCAUUUAUCAGAUACUUUCCUGCAGUGUUUAGGAGUUAUACAUCUUCUUUUCAAAUUUAGAGCUUUUUUUAUUAACAUUUUUAGAUCCUUCAAAUGCAUUUAUGAACCCUCAAAGAUAUACUGCAUAACUGAAGCUAAUAAUAUAAAUACGAAUUCAAGAAUAAAUACAUAAUAUCUGAUUCAUUCACAAUUUAAUACAAGAUUAUUCUUUUCAAUGAUAUGUGGGCAAUAAAAUUGAUCUCCAAGAGUUGAAAGAAAAGAUUAUUUCAUUAAAAUAAAAAUAGAGAGAAGAUAUAUAGAUGAAAUUGAGCACUAUUUAUAAAGGAUCAUGAUUUAUCCAUCUUUUGAACAUACCAAAACAUUCUUCAGGUUUGUAUCUACAAGCUGUGUGUCCUGAUCCCUUUUUUUUUUGAAAAAAAAAAACACAAAGUUAAAUACAAGUAUAAAGUUAAAAUAAGUCUCGUUAAAUAAAAAUCAAUCUGACUAAAUUGAGAUAAAUUAAUAAUUUCCAAUUUUCAUGAAAAUUAUUCUACAAUUAAUUUCAUACCUUCACUGUUGCAAAAGUCAUUUUGUUGGAGUAAGAUCUCGUAUAACUACAAGGAUACGAUAUUAGAAAAAAUGAUUAAGCAUUAUCAACUCACAUAAUAAUAAUUAGUUUUAAGAAUUCAUAAUUGUAAUUAAGGAUGUUAAAUUUGGAGAUUAAUUACCCAGCAACUUGAUUAUUUACGUUCCAUGGACGCCAAUCAUCAACAAUGGAGUAGUUUAGAGACUUUAUCCAUUUCUGUGUGGAUUGAAAAGGUACUGAAUAAUCAUGAUCGCCACUGUUUAAACAUGAAAAGAAAAAAACCUCCAUUUUAUAUUCAUGAAAUUAUUGUAAAUACAUCGAACAAUAAAAUUAUAAUGACAUGAAAAAAGUUCUUCUGUAUAUCUCCGCAGGGGCUCACAUAUCUUUUGAAGUAUUAAUCUUUUUUAGUUUUGUGGCACUAGGUGAGAUUUAGGACCCGCUUAAUCAUGAAAAUUUAUUUAUUUUUUUCAGAAAUUCUCUUUACUUUUUAAGAAAUUAGUAUUUGUUCAUGAAAAUUUCAAAUACAACUUGAAUUUGUAUUUCAAAUCUACUGUGUUACCACUUUUAUUAUAUUAGAAAAAAUACAUUCAAAUUAUAAACAUUAUUUGCAAAAAGUAUGAUCAAAUACAACUCUAACUUUAAAAGUUUCAAACAAUAAACAAUAUUUGAUUUUCAUGAUGAAACUUCCAUUUACUUUGUGUUAUUCAGAUAUCAUGCAAUAACUUUAAUCUCAUGCCAAAUAUAUAAAAUUUACAUAGACACAAACGGAACAAUAUUGAGUACUAAUUACCUGUAUAUAAGUGAUCGAUAACCUUUAGUGCUUAGAUUUGCAUGAUAUGGUACAACAUUAUCGAUCGUGAGAGUGUAGUUGGGAGGAGAGCCUACACUUGAAAUUUUGUUACAUUGUACCCAGCUUCCUAUGAUUCUCUGUGAAGAGUAAAAUUACGAGUAACUAAGUGAUAUAGUAAAAUUAUGUGAUAUAUAUACUGUACACUCUUAUUGUAAUCCACGUACCUUUCGAACAUGAAGAGCUUCUUGGACUUUCGGGUCAUUAGCCCAAUACUUCAUAUGCUUGCGCCAAUCAGACUGAAGUAAUUGAGAAUAAGUUUCUACAAUUACUAGUAUUUUAUUUAUUCAUUUAAGUUAUAUACACAAACAGUAAUGUGGUAAAAAAAAAUUAUGAAUGUCAAAAUGAUAAAACAUGUUUUGUAUAAGGAUAAAGCCUCGUCCACUAUGGAUUAUUUUCUUCAUUUUUAUCUGUCUUCUUCUUUUUUCAAUUUUUUUGGGAGAUAAUUUCGCAGAUGGAUGAGGAUAUUUUUCUUAGAAAAUCACUCAAUUUUGUUUUAUAAUCUAAAGUCACUUAAUUGUAUAAAACAAAGUUAAGCGACUUUCUAAAUGAUUUACCUAGAGUUGAAUAACCAUCUGUGAUAUUAUCAAAUAUAUACUUUUAUUUCUUUCUUUCUUUUGUUUUAGUAGUAUUUCUUCAUCACCGGACAUUUUAGGUUGAACAUGUAUAUAUAUGCUGGGAGACUCAAUUUUGUUUUAUAAUCUAAAGUCACUUAAUUGUAUAAAACAAAGUUAAGCGACUUUCUAAAUGAUUUACCUAGAGUUGAAUAACCAUCUGUGAUAUUAUCAAAUAUAUACUUUUAUUUCUUUCUUUCUUUUGUUUUAGUAGUAUUUCUUCAUCACCGGACAUUUUAGGUUGAACAUGUAUAUAUAUGCUGGGAGACUCAAUUUUGUUUUAUAAUCUAAAGUCACUUAAUUGUAUAAAACAAAGUUAAGCGACUUUCUAAAUGAUUUACCUAGAGUUGAAUAACCAUCUGUGAUAUUAUCAAAUAUAUACUUUUAUUUCUUUCUUUCUUUUGUUUUAGUAGUAUUUCUUCAUCACCGGACAUUUUAGGUUGAACAUGUAUAUAUAUGCUGGGAGACUCAAUUUUGUUUUAUAAUCUAAAGUCACUUAAUUGUAUAAAACAAAGUUAUGUGACUUUCUAAACGAACUGCCUAGAGUUGAAUAACCAUUUGCGAUAUUAUUUGAUAUUCCUAAUUUUUAUUCUUUUCUUUCUUUUAUUUUAGUAGUAAUUCUUUAUCAUCGGACAUUGUAGCUAGACCAUCUAUAUAUAUGCUAGGAGAAUAUCAAGAUAUAAGUCUAACCACCUCAAAUGUCGUUUCUGACAUACUAUAGUCUAUAGAUAUUAAAGUCUCUCAACGACGAAAAUCAGAAAUACAUAGAAAUAUAUAUAUAUAUAUAUAAAGAACUUACAGCACACUUGUCUUGACGUUGCAAGGAGAUGAGUUUUUCAUCAAGUAAUCUUCUCUCACCAGACAUUUGAUAUGGACCUUGAAGAUAAUCAUAUGUGCAAAAGGGCUCUAAUAUGUGUUCCCCAUUAAUGUUUUUAACUAACUGCAUAACUAUAUGUUAAUUUACUGACAUAAAAAUAACAAAUAACCUACUAUUACAUCGAUCAAUCGAUAAUACUGUAAAACAAUAAUUAUAACCUGCUUGAAAAUUCGAAAGUCAUUUGCACAUCCUUUAUUGUUGGGAUCUAUAUUUGUAUAUUCUCCUCCACAAUUCUUCUCUAAUGACUGUUAACACAAAUCAAUAUUCAAGUUAAAUUAACAUCUCAAAUUUUAAACCUAAUUAUAUAUAAUGUAGAAAGUAAUUAAAACAAAUUAAUUAUGACUUAACCUUAUAAAGUUCAUCAGAUAUAAGUCCCAUGCCAUAACUAAAAAGUAUUUGAUAAUUGUCUUCUUGAGGACGAAGUGUUCCAGGACUGCCAAUUAAAUACCCCUUAAAUUAAAAAAAAUAAAAUAUUACUUGAUGAUGGUAAUUAAUUAUUAGAUAACAAAUUCUAAUUAGAGAACUAUUAACCUGAAGAUUAACAAAUGGCUCUUUGCCUGCUGUAUUUCCUGCAUUUGCAAAAAUCAAAGAAUAAUUUCUUUAAGAUUUAUUAUAUGUAAGAAACGUAGUUUUUGAUCUAUAUAUACAUGAGUAAAAUCUUCUAUAUAAUUUUUCAACAAAUUAAGAAUAUUCAAUUGUCCAUCCUUCAUUCUGAUAAGUGUCUCCAUCGGGAUAUCGAUCUAUUAUGUAUCUAGCUAGUACGCGGUACAUCAAAUUGAUUAAUUUGGAACACGUAUGCAAUUUCUUUAUCGAUAGUAUACAUGAACCUUACCAUUUGAUAUCAAUUGGGCUACAACUGGUAUCAUCUUGCCAGCAUAUGAGUUUCCAGACAUGUAAAAUGGAUUUGAGAUGUAUUCUGGAUGAUCACUGAGCCACUGAAAUAAUAAAUUCAUAGUUGAGUAAACAUGAUUUCAAUUUAGUUUAUAAUGAAAAAUUUCAUAAAUUACGUACCCACCUUUCUUAGGAAUUCAUAGACAUAAUCAAAUGCUUGUACAUCAGUUUGCUUAUAUGCAACUUCAUUUGUUACAUAUGAGAAUCCAGUGUUUAUUGGUUGAUCUAAGAAUAUUACACUUGCUAUCUGAAAAUCGAUAAUCAAAUGAUAUAUAUGUUUAACUUUUCUUUUAUUAUGUAGUAUAUUAUAUUAUUAUAACAAUUUUUUUUGGUCAAAACAAUAUUGGAAAAAAAAAACUUACCUUGGUCCAUGCGUGUGGGUUUAGUACGAACGAGGGCAUACUCCCAUAGUAGACUUGUUCCACAAAACGGAGUGGUCCUAAACAAGAAAAUAUCUUAUUAUUAUCUUCGACUAUUUUUUUUUUUUUUAAAUAAUACAUUUUAUUCUUAGUAAUAAUUAAUUAUUUCUUAAAAUAUAUACAUCAAUUAAUAAAUGUAGUAUGGUUAAAUAGUUGUGACAAACAUUAGUUUUUAAUAAAUAUGUCAAAAUUUAAAUAUGACAAGUAAAAACAAAUAAAAAUGUAUUCUCUCCCCUCCCCCCCCCCCCCCCAAAACCCANNNNNNNNNNNNNNNNNNNNNNNNNNNNNNNNNNNNNNNNNNNNNNNNNNNNNNNNNNNNNNNNNNNNNNNNNNNNNNNNNNNNNNNNNNNNNNNNNNNNNNNNNNNNNNNNNNNNNNNNNNNNNNNNNNNNNNNNNNNNNNNNNNNNNNNNNNNNNNNNNNNNNNNNNNNNNNNNNNNNNNNNNNNNNNNNNNNNNNNNNNNNNNNNNNNNNNNNNNNNNNNNNNNNNNNNNNNNNNNNNNNNNNNNNNNNNNNNNNNNNNNNNNNNNNNNNNNNNNNNNNNNNNNNNNNNNNNNNNNNNNNNNNNNNNNNNNNNNNNNNNNNNNNNNNNNNNNNNNNNNNNNNNNNNNNNNNNNNNNNNNNNNNNNNNNNNNNNNNNNNNNNNNNNNNNNNNNNNNNNNNNNNNNNNNNNNNNNNNNNNNNNNNNNNNNNNNNNNNNNNNNNNNNNNNNNNNNNNNNNNNNNNNNNNNNNNNNNNNNNNNNNNNNNNNNNNNNNNNNNNNNNNNNNNNNNNNNNNNNNNNNNNNNNNNNNNNNNNNNNNNNNNNNNNNNNNNNNNNNNNNNNNNNNNNNNNNNNNNNNNNNNNNNNNNNNNNNNNNNNNNNNNNNNNNNNNNNNNNNNNNNNNNNNNNNNCUCUCCCCUCCCCCCCCCCCUCCCAAAUCUAUUUUUUACCUUAAGUUUUUCAAAGGUCUUUUAAACAUUUUAGAUUAUCAAUUUGACUUAUAGUACUUUUUAUGUAGUUUACAAAUAUAUAAAUUUUAUUUCAAAAAAUUUGAAGAUUUUCAUGAGCAAAUUGUCGGUCAAACUUAAACUGUUUGACUCUCGAAAAAUGAAAAGUGUCACAUAAAUUGGGACAGAGGGAGUAUUUUUUUUUGGGACAAGGCACAAGUAUCCCCUUAGACUAUGACCGAAAUUUCAGAGACACAUCUUAACUAAACUAAGGUCCUAUUACCCCCGAUCUCAUUUUUUUUUUGUAAUUUUAUAAACCUUUUGGCUUACGUGGCACACACCAUGACUCCACGUAGUUGAAGUGCUUGAGAGAUGUUUGGAUGCCACAUAAGCUAAAAAAGUGUACAAGAUUAUUUUUUUUAAAAUGGUUCGAGGGGUAAUAUGAUAUUAGUUUAGUUAAGAUAUGUCUCUGUGAUUUCAGUUAUAGUCUAAAGGGAUACUUGUGCUUUAUUUCAUUUUCUUUUAAAAUUAUAAAAACUGAUGACAUCAAAAUCAGACAAACAAAUUAAAAUCGGAACGACUACCUAUCCCAUUAACAAUGGCAGUGACAGCAGAGCAACCGGGUCCACCAGAUAGCCAAAUCAAAAGAGGAUCGGUAGUAGGCUCGGAUUCUGAUUCCAAAAAAUAGUAGAAAAGUUGCAACUCCUCAUCUUUACCAACUCCAACAUACCUAUUUAAUUAAUAAUUAAUUACCUUGUCAUAUAAUUAAAUUAAAAUAAAAUAAAAUAGGACUAGAAGGAGUAGUAAAUGAAAUGUAUUACUUUCUAUUAAGGGUUGCGUAUCUUUGAUUCGAUUUUGUUUUAAGGUUUAUUGGGUCGAUUUAUAUUUGUAGAUUAAAUCGUUAAGAAUUAUUAUAUAUUGAUUUAUUGAUUAACGGUUUAUCGAUUAUUGAUUAUAAUCAAUUCGGUUAUCGAUUUAACCAUUAAGAUUUGACAUAAAAAAUAAAAUGAUUAAAACUCAUUUAGAAACAUGUUGAACAACCAAAUAAAUCAUGCAUAUAAGUUGAUAGAUUUUAUCUUGCUAAAAAACAACACAGAAAUAAACUAUGAAACUAAGAGCAUGUUUGGCAUUGCUGAUCAAAACUGCUUAUUUGUAGAAGCAUUUUGUAAAAAUAAGUUUUCAGAAAAAUGCUUUUGAAAGAGAAACAAUUUUUGUUUGACUAAUUCUUUUGAAAAAUGUUUUUGAUAAACAAAUUGUGUUUGACUAAUAUUUUUAAAAAGUGCUUAUGAAAGUCAAAUUACGAUAAAAGGCAAGUAUUAAUACUAAGAUUAUUUUAUAGAGAGAAACUAUUUUAAUAUCUAUUAUAAAAAAAAUAUUUGAUUUUUAUUUUUAUUAAAUUAAAAUGUACAUAUUCAAUUUUUCAAUUAAUAUUAUACCUUUUUAUGGGAGGACUGAUAUCUUUAAUUGUUAUUUUUUUCUUCUAAUUUUACAAAAAUAUUGUUCUUACCUUUUUUUUUCUAUUUCUGAUACAAAAUAUAAAAUAAUUAUAAAUAAAUGUAAAAUAAAAUAUUUAUUAUAUAAAAAUAAAAAAUAAAACAUUUUAAAUGAAACUUAAUCAAACUUAUGAGAUAUGGUAAUUAAUUAUUAAGUGAUAUAUUGAUAAAUAUGUAUACCUGGAGGAGAUAUUUUAUUCUUGAAAAAAAUAAUUUCUGAUUUCUACUUCUGAAACAAUUUUUUUAGUUUCUUCCCAACAUUAGAAAAACUAAUUUUUGCUUCUAUUUAAAAACAAUUUUACUGAUUUGUCAAACAAUUAUUUUUUCACAAAAAGUGAUUUUCUCAAAAUAAGUGUUUUUGGCCUCCCAACAACAAUAUCAAACAGGUUCUAAAUUCUAAAUCAAUGACUUCAUAAAUCGAAUGGUAUAAAUAUAAUUUAUUAAUUUACUAUCGAAUUAUCAAUUAACCUGUUAAGAAAAAACCUCAACCAUUAAUAAUCAAUAACUCGAUAAUUACAAAAACAAAACCGUUAAAUUAUACCGAUAAAUCAAUAACUCAUUUUUUAUUCGUUUUAUCAAUUUCAAUUUGAACCGCCCUACUUUCUAUCGAUAUUACCACCAACCUCCUACAAAUCAUCUCCACAUUGCUAUUUAUAUCUAAUGUAGUUAUUCUAAAACUUAAAACCAACCAAAUUUAAAAAUUCAAACUUCACCUCUAAUAUUGCCACGAAAACAUAGUUUUAUUUUAGGAUAAAAAUCUUCUCGUUCUCAAAUAAAUAAAUAAAUGCAAACGAGCUCACCCGGUCUCUAGAGGGAACGGGAGGCGUCCCUGCAAACCGGGAAGAUACUCAACAGUAGAAUGCGAAGCAGCUUGUUGUUGUUGUUGAAGAAGAAGAAGCAGUAGCAGCAACAACUUUUCCAUUAUUGUUGCUAAAUUAUCGAUACUCAUUUUACCAAUAAAUUACUAUUUAUCAUAUAUUAUUGAUGAUAAGGAGCCAAGGGACCUCCACGUGGACAAAAUAUAACAACAAUUUUAGGUAUGUUCUGGUCCCCGUAGAAGUAAUUUUGCUGAAUAAGUGGUGCUAUACGCAAGUAUUUAUUAAUGCGGCUACAAUAAUGAGAUUAAACUCUCGAAAAAGACUAAACAACUAUUAAUAUGUUAUCAAUAUCUUGGUACACGAAAUAAGAUAAAAUGAACUUGCAAAAAAAAUUCUAAUUUUAAUCCAAUGGAAUUAUAAUUCAAAUAAUUUCAACGGAAUUCUAGUUCAGAAAUUCUGCUUGCAUCAACAAAACCUCUAAACAUGCAUCAAAACUGCAUUCAGAGAUCUAAGAAGGGAAAUUUAUAGAAAUUUCACUAGCUUAGGAGUUAAUUUAGUUUCUAACAUUACAAAGUUUACUAGGUUUUGGUGAGUUCAGAUACAUAUAUCUCGGGAUAUGUAGGAUUAAAAUUAAGUGUAAAUGUGUAAUUUAUAUUCUAGAUACACCGUAUCCAAAUGAAUUCACAUCUAUCUGAAAUAGAUAUAUUAUCCUAUGAUCCUUUUGGACAAGUGACAUAAAAUUAGAUUGGUAUAAAAUUAAAUUUUAUUUGAACAUUCAAUUUGAAUUUUUUAAAGUGCAAAUCCUGAUACAAAAAUAAAUGUGCAAAUACAGUCUAAAGCUUUUACAAACGAUUCAUUUAAUUUUCUGCUCCCAAAUGUAGUCCAUUUACUGUCUCUAAAUUAAUUAUAUACCUUUUGUUUUGGUCCGUAAGAAUUUUUUUAUCUUAAAAGUCCCAAUAAGUUUUCUUUCUUCACUUUUUUUUUUUUGGAAUUUAAAUAGUGUAUUUUUUUUAUUUAUAAAUAUCUCAAAAUGUAUAUUUUAUCAUCUAAACAUAAGAAGAAAUUGUAACUUAUCGUAUAAUUAUGAAUAUCUAUAUGUUAAUUUUGAAACAUUCAUGAAUUAAUUUAAGAGCAAUUUUCACAUAUAGCAAACAUAAAAAUUAUAUUUGUAUGUUAUAGCUAUAGUUUGUAUAAUUGCGCUCCAUAGCAAAUUUUUAUGUUUUGAUAUGGAGCUUUUGAUUUGUAUAAUUCGCUAGAUGCAUCCAAUUUUUAUACAAAUUGUUCAGUUUUUGUAUAAAUUCAUUUAUACAUUGUAAUUUGUAUAAUAAGAUUUGUAUUUGUAUAAUUAUAAGUGUAUAGGACGAAAAUAUAUGUAUUUGUAUUUGUAUAUACACUUUUCUCUCGCUUUUAUACAAAUACAAACGCAUUUUAUACAUUUGUAUACCGAAAAUGGCUAAUUGUAUAUCGAAUCAGAUGGCAAAAAAAUGGGAUGUUUGAUGCGAAUUACAAAUAGAAUAAACUAUGGCUAUACCAUUUAAUUUAAAAUUAAUAGUUUGUUAUUUCAUACAAUUUUCCCUUUAAUCCAAAUCUAACUUUAAAGAUUGAUCAAAUUUAACUUUUAAAAAGCAAAAACUACAUCAUAAAUUAAAAUAUUACAUAAAAAUUUAAUUUAAUUUUUUACUUUUUUAAAGUUCAUACAAAUUUUAAAUAAAAUAAUCAAAUAAUAUAAAAUGAAGAGAGCACUAGAUUGUUUUAUUUGUGGCACAUACUUUUCUCUACGUGGAUAAAAUAUAACCACACUACUUUAGUUUAAUAUUUUAGGUAUCCUUAGGUCCCGCAGUAGUAAUUAUUAAUUUUGCUGAAUUAAUGGGUCAUGCAAGCUGGUUAGAUGUGUGAAAUAGAGGACUCGUACGUAUUUGUUAAUGUGGCUACAAUAAAGAGAUUAAAUUCUUGAAAAAGACUAAACAACUAUCGAUCUGCCAUUAAUAGCGAAAUAAGAUAGAAUAUUUGAGAAUUAAACUUAAUUCUGAAAGAGAAAGGAAUUCACUAUCAAGCUAGCUAGCAAGAGAAGUAGAGAGAUAGAUUAUAUAUAUCUGUCCAAGACUUUAGCAAUUUUAAUUUAUUUGGGUUAAGAUAGAUAAAAGGUUGGACAUGAGUUUCAAUUUGGGAAUGACUUGUUUUUAAGAAAAAUGGGUAAUUUGAACUGAUUUGAGGCUUUUCGUUAAAUUAGAGAUAUGGGUGACAAGUUUGUAAAUGGAGGGAUUUAAAUGGCCACAUAUUAUAACGCAUGAUAAAACUAACAAAGUUGCGGAAUAUCUCUGAUCCUUCUCCUAAUAAAAUUAGAAAAAAUUAUUUAAAUAUACAAUUUAUUUUAUCAUGUUCUCUAAAAUUUCCUAUCACUUGUAAAAGUUACAAAAAUCUCUACUCUCUCCUAUUCUCGCAUACAUCAUUUUACACGAUUUAUCGGUCAGAUACAUUAUUUUACAUGAUGUAUCGGUCGGAUACAUCACUUACGCUAUGUAUCAGGACGUUGAGUGAUGUAUCCAAAAUCCAAUUUGAAAAGCCAGUCCUUUACACCGGAGCUGCUAUUUCCGAGUAAAAAAAGGAGUCUUUAGAAGAACACGGAUUAUCAAAUUGGCUCGAGAAAUUCAAGCCAGGAUCAGUAGUGUUCUGUGCAUUUGGGAGCCAAUUGAUUCUUGAAAAGGAACAGUUUCAACAAGUUGUUUUAGGCUUUGAACUGACUGAGUUACCAUUUCAUUUAGUCGUUAAACCACCUAAAGGUACAAAAUCAGUAGAAGAAGCUUUGCCACAGGGAUUCAAAGAGAGGGUUCAAGAGAAGGGAAUGAUUCUUGAUUGUUGGGUGCCACAAUUGGAGAUUUUAAGACACAAAUCAGUUGGUUGUUUUGUGACUCACUGUGGUUAUGGGUCGAUGUGGGAGUCUUUGGCGCUGUGUGAUUGUCAAUUGGUACUUUUGCCAAGGCCUAUUGAUCACAUUUUUAAUGCUAGGCUGAUGGAACAACAACUUAAGGUUGGUGUAGAAGUGGAGAAAGAUGAAAAUGAUUUGUUUACAAAGGCUGUGAAAUGUGUGAUGGAUAAAGAUAGCCAAAUUGGUUGUCUUGUGAAAGAGAAUCAUAGAAAAUGGAAGGAACUUCUUGUUGGGGUUUAUUUGCCCCGAUUUCUUACCAUAAAUAGGUUUUCCUUUUAGGAAAAGGUUUUAAUAUUUUACUAGUCCUUUUCUUGUAGGAAAGGUUUAGGACUCUAUAAAUAUAGGUUUGUUCCUUCUAACUUAAUUAGCAUUCACAAUGUAGUCCUAGGGUUUUGAGAGUUGCGGUUAUGGGGGAGAGUUUUGUGUACCUCCUUGUAUUCAGAGUGAAUUGUUUGAGGUUGUUUCUCUCCAUAUUUUGUACUCUCAUAUUUAUAGUGGAUUGCUCAUCUCCUUUGUGGACGUAGGUCGAUUGACCGAACCACGUUAAAUCUGUCUCUUUUGGUAUAUUUCUCGUUUGUCUUCUUACUCAUGGUCUUUCGAGGUUUGCUUUGCUAGUUUCCGCGUUACACCUGCUUAUUUCGGUCCUAACAAGAGUCCCGGCUUCAUGAGUAACUACAUUGAUAACUUCAUUCGAGACUUGCAUGGGCUUCUACUUGAAAAGACCUAGAUAAUUAGCAGGGUGGAUCUAAUGUUGAAGUUACGGGGUUUGCAUAAUUCAGUGCAUUUUUGUUAAAAAAAUUUACUUAAUAUGUAUGAAUAAUUCAUCCCCAACCAAUUGUUGUCAUGUUUUAAAAUUUAGAAUUUAUAAACUCAAAAACCAUGUAUCUAGUAAAGUAACUUGCAUUUAUCGGAUGUUUCAUGUCGUGUAUAGGAGUUAUACACCUUUCCCUCGAAUUUAGACUUUUCUUUUUUUUAAAAAGGAAAAAAGAACUUUUUUUACCUCUAUAUACACUUCUGAGUUCUGAACACUCAAAGAAAUGUACAAAUUUAGAUCUAAAAUUAAGUUUGGUAUAUUUUUAACUAUGAAAAAGGAUAAAAAAUAUCUCUUAUCAUAUAAAAAAUACUCAACCGUGGAAUGCGAAGCAGCUUGUUAUUGUUGUUAUAGAAGAAGAAGAAGCAGCAGCAGCAAAACUGGCAGUUUCAACAACUUCUCCAUUAUUUCUAAAUGACAUAAACUGAAAAAGUAGACAUACGCAUCCUGCGGCAUAAGACACGUAGGGUGCCACAUAGGACACAAAAUUGUCACGUAGGAUGCCAUGUAGGAUGAAUGUGUCUAUUUAUUCGACAUGUAAAACCAGAACAGGGAAAGAUUUUGUUCACAAACAUCUAAAGUUGGUAAAGUUAAGAAAAAUUAUUUUCAGUAAAAUAAAAUAAAAUAGAGAGAAGAUAUAUAGAUGAAAGUGAGGAAUAUUUAUAAAGGAUAGUGAUUUAUCCAUCUUUUGAACAUAACAAAACAUUCUUCAGGUGUGUCUGUGUCCUGAUCCCUGUUAAAGAAAAAUAAAUAAAUGCAAAGUUAAAUACAAAUAUAAAAUAAAAAUAAAGCUCUUUAAAUAUAACUCAAUCUGACUAAAUUGAUAUAGAUUAAUUAUUUCUUAAUUUUCAUGUAACUUAUUUCUACAAUUAAUUUCAUACCUUCACGGUUGCAUAAGUCAUUUUGUUGGAGUAAGAUCUCGUAUAACUACAAUGAUACGAUAUUAGAAAAAUGAUUCACAGCAAGAAAGAAUUGAAUUAGCCUCGGAGAACUGAACUGCCUUGAUCUGAAUCUCUGGAACUCACAGAAGACCAAGGCAAGUCCACUCUCAAUUCAGCAUAAGCUUGGGAUCUUUCUUUCCUAAAGCAUUUCCCUUGAAGCCAGGUCUUUCUUCUCUUCUUUAAAGCCUGGAGCUGGACUUCUUUUUCCUGACUCGAUUCACUGUUUAAUCACACUAAGUCAGAGCCCAACCAGGGUGAGAGAGAUAGGAGAGUAGGGAUGGGGAACCAAUGUCACCAACAACACUAGCAGUCUCGGAUCUUUGAAUAGACAGAGAGAGAUGCUCUUCCUGCGGCCCAAGAGCGUAUUCGUUCAAAGAGAUGGCAAUGACUUUCUUCCCACCCGGGAAUCGUAGUAAGCCGGGAGAAAGACAUUCAUAUAUUCCCCAGGCACGGGAUAAAGGGAAAGAGAGAGCCGAGAGCCGGGAACGCAAUAAAAAGAAUUUCCCUCUCCCUGUAGGUCGAGCUGAAUUACAUCCACCCUCUCACUUCGUUCGAGCUUCCUUUUCAGCCCUCUCACGGGAAUCUUUUAAUUAGAAUACGUACGAGACUACCAAAGCAAAUUAACUUCUUUCCCCGGAGCAACAACUGAAAGAGAAAAUACCGGUUUAUUCAUCUGCACCGGAAAAGAGCUAAGUAUUAUCAACUAACUUAAUGAUUAGUUUUAAUUGAAAAUUCAUAAUUGUAAUUAAGGAUGUUAAAUUUAGAGAUUAAUCACCCAACAAGUUGAUUUUUACUGCUAGGCUGAUGGAACAACACCUUAAGGUUGGUGUAGAAGGAUGAAAAUGAUUUGUUUACAAAAAUGUGUUAUGGAUAAAGAUAGCCAAAUCGGUUGUCUUGUGAAAGAGAAUCAUAGAAAAUGGAAGGAACUUCUUUCGAGUCUUGGCUUCAUGAAUAAUACAUUGAUAACUUCAUUAAAGAAUUGCAUGGGCUUCUAGUUGAAAAGACCUAGAUGAUUAGCAGGGGUGGAUCUUAGGUUGAAGUUACGGGGUUUGCAGAAUCUAGUGUAUUUGUGCAUUUUUGUUAAGAAAUUUACUUAAUAUGUAUGAAUAAUUCAUCCCCAACCAAGUGUUGUCAUGUUUUAAAAUUCAGAAUUUAUAAACUCAAAAACCAUGUAUCUAGUAAAGUAACUUGCAUUUAUCGGAUGUUUUCAUGUCGUGUAUAGGAGUUAUACACCUUUCCCUCGAAUAUAGACCUCUUUUUUAAAAAAAGGAAAAAGAACUUUUUUUACCUCUGUAUACACUUCUGAGUUCUGAACACUCAAAGAAAUGUACAAGUUUAGAUCUAAAAUUAAGUUUGGUAUAUUUUAACUAUGGAAAAGGAUAAAAAAUAUCUCUUAUCAUAUCAAAAAUAUUCAACCGUGGAAUGCGAAGCAGCUUGUUAUUGUUAUUAUAGAAGAAGAAGAAGAAGCAGCAGCAAAAUUGGCAGUUUCAACAACUUCUUCAUUAUUUCUAAAUGACAUAAUACAUAAAUGUGUCUUUUUACUUGGUUUUAACUGAUACUAGUGAAUAUGUUCGCGCUUCACGCGAUGAGAAAAAAUAAUUAAAAAUAUUUAAAUAAAUCAUUUCUUAUAUUUGAAAAUCAAAAAUAUUUUAAGAAUCAUUUCUAAUUUUCAAAUUCAAAUAGAUUUAAGUUUUAAGUUCUAGUUAUUAUUAAAUAUAAUUUAAGCAAUGUAAUAAUAACUGUUAAAAUAAUUCAAUAUAGUGUGAAUUUUUUUACUAUUGAUUAGAAUCGUAAUUUAAAAUAAUAAAUAUUUUCUUUUAAUUGAAUCAUAAUCGUUUUGCUGAAUUGUUGAUGUACUUGAAAAAAAUGGAUCAUACAGUAUUAAAUAUAUUAUAUGAUGUGUUUGAUUUUUUGAACAAAAUGAAAAGAACACAAAUGGUUAUCGGGCUAAAGGCUUAUUGUAGCAAAGUCGUAGAAGUAAAUUUUGUAUAAAAAAUAUAACUUUUAAAUAUUUAUCAUACAUAAUAUUCAUCGAAAAUUCAUCUAUUCAGUGUAGAAAAUUGAAAUAAAUUGUAACACAAGAUAAAAGAAAAUUUUUAAAUUUAUAUUGCAAUUAAACACAAACAUUAAUUUUUUUAUUAAUCAUUAUUAAGUACUAUGAUUGAAGAUUGAUAUCUCAAUUUAAUAAAAUAUAAAUAUGGAAGAUAAAAGACUGAUGUAGAACCUCACUUUGAUCAGGAUUAUCAGUUUUCUUCUUCUUCUUUUUUUGAAAAUUUUUACUAUCUUUUGAUUUAUAAAAUCUGCAAAAAAAAUAUAUAUAUUUUAUUUAUUUCUCUCCUCACUAUUAUUACAAUUUAUUAAAUAGUAAAUAUUUUUCACCUCUCCUCAUCAUACAACUUCUACAGUUUACUUUUUUCCACCUUCUAUUUUUAUAGUUUUUUAAAAUAAAAAUUCUUGUUGAUCUCUCAUCAUUAUUAUCAUAAUUAAUUUUUCUUAUUCAAAAAAUUCUCUUUUUCGUUAAUUGUUUUCUUUCCUUUGAUUUAUAAUUUCUUUUUUAAAAAAUAGAUCUUAAAUAUUUUAUUUAUCUUUCUCUGCACUAUUGGUACAAUUUAUUAUAAUUACUUUUUUGUUUUUUCUCGUUGUUGCUAUAAAACAUUCUUUUUAAUUGCCCUUUUGUUGUCUAAAGAAAAUCUUAUUUAUUUCUUCUCCUUAUUAUCACUAUUAUUAAUUUAUUAUUAUUAUUAUUUAAAUAAAUACUUUUCUUUUCUUUUAAUUUUUUCUCUUGAUAUAUAUAUAUAUUGACCAAGAAUUUAAAUUAUCCCCUUUCUCCUUUCUUGACUUUAAAAUGUUUUUUUCUUAUUUAUAUUUAUGUUUUAAAACUCAAAAGAAGUUAUAAAUAGUAUCUUAAUUAGUACUAACUGUUUAACAUAUUUAUAGUACACACCUUUAUAUUAUGAUUAUGAUAAAUAUAUUUACCUUAUUUAUAUAUCUUCUUACAUUACUAUAAUUUAUUUUUUUUCAUCUCUCCUCAUUAUUACUAUAAUUUAUUAUUAUUUUAAAAUUCAUUUUUUACCUUCUAUUUUUAUAUUUAAAAUGAAAAUUUUAUGAUCUCUCCUCGUUAUCAUCGUAAUUUAUUCUUAUUAUUAUUCACAAUAUUUUUCUUCUAUACAAUUAUUUAUCUUUUAAUCUAAAAAAUUAGUUAAAAAUUAAAAAAAUCAAAUAUUUUAUUUAUCUCUCUCCUCACAUUAUUACAAUUUAUUACUUUUUAUUUCUACCUUUUAUUUUAAAAGUUUCCCAAGAUUUUUUUUUUAUUCAUCUCUCUUUCUUAUUAUCAUAAUUUAACAUUGUUUAUGAAAUUUCUGUUCUUUCUUAAUUUUUUUUAUCUAUAAAAUUUAUAUGAAAAAUAUUUCUUUGAUCAAGAAUUAUAAUUAUUUUUUUCUCUCCUAUUCUUGAUUUUUAAUUUUUUAUUUAUUUAUGUGCUAUGUUAAUAAAAAUCAAAAUAUUCUUUGAAUAAAUAGUUUAUAUAUUUUUAUAAUUUUUUUUAUUUUAAUGUUAAAUAAAAAGUAGAAAGAGAAUGAUGUAAUUAGUAAAACAAAAUAAAACAAAGAGUAAUGUAUAACUCUCUUUCAUUUUUUUGUGUUUUCUUUUAUGGUAGUAUUUUUAAUUAUUAUUUUUUCCUUUUUUUUUCUUUUCCUUCCUUUUACUUUUUACUCAAUUUCAUUCCUUGCCUUCUCAUUCUUUUUCAAACUAUCAUAUUAUUCUUUUUUAUCAGAAAAGAGAAUUAAUUUUUUUUUAUAACUUUCCAUAUUAUUUCAAUACCUUAUAGAUAAAUAAAUUAAAAACAAAAAAAAGUAAAAAAAAAAUAGUGAUUUAAGGAAAUGAUAUAAAUUGAGAGUAAUGAUCAAAUUAAGGUUAGGAUGUAAAAUAUGAUUGAUGAUGAAUGAAAUUAAAUAUGGUCACUUUGAUAUUCAAUAAAAUUUGAAAGUGAAAUUUUCAGUCUUUUAGAAUUUUAAAAAAUAAUAUAAAAUUUAAAAACAAAAAAACUACAAAAAUAUAAAUUUCAGGCCUAAAAAAAAUAUCACGUCAUAUAUAUAUAUGGUUUAAAGAAAUAAACUUUAACUAAAGAUAUAUAAAAGAAAAUUAAAAAAAUUCAAUUGAAAAUAUAUAAAAAAUAAUAAAACAAACUUUAAUUAAAGAUAAGUAAGGAAAAAUUAAACAAAAAACGUUUUUAAGGGAGGGGGAAUAAAAAAAAGUUUUUAAGAGAAGAAAAAGGAAUUAGAAUAUACAUUUCUCCUUAUUCCUUCCUAAUUUAAUAAGAAUUCCAUAAAUAAAUUGAUUCUCUCUCUAAAUAAUUCUUGUUGCCCUUGAACCACGUAUCAUUCUUUUUAUAAGUUUCUCAAUUAAAAUAAUUUUUUUCUUCUCAAUAUAUAUUUUCUUUUAGAAGGAAUUAUAGUGCAAAAUUCUUUCAAAAGUAUGAUUAUUAUAUGAUUUUUCUUCUUAGAUCAAUAUCUUUGAAACAAUCUUGAGAUACGGCCUCUUUCUCUUUUCAUGAUGAGAUAACAUUCCAUCAUCAUUACAAAAAAAGACAAAGAGCGAAUUUGUUGUUCAUUAUGAGAUCUCUACUAUACAUCUCUAAAUUAACUUUCAGAGAACUUUAAUUUGUCGUUAUUUGUAAAUCAAAUAGAAUAGAAUGAGAGAAUUAAUAUUUCAUGGUGGCAUCAUUUCCACGGUCUACAAGUUGAAUGUUAGAAGACAUUUUUGAUGUUUUUCGAUCUUCAAGUAUAUUGAAUUCUUAUAUAGGAUUUCAUUCUUAUUUUGCUAGAUCCACUUGUUGUAAUUCUUGUUGGCAUAAAAUGGUCAAAUCUACACAGGUAUAUUCUAACGAAUUCAUUCAUACAAACAAAUCAAUUUUUAUUUAUUUAUCUGAGCUAGCAAAACAUCUCUUGCUAUGAGUUCUUGAUUCAUCUCCUGCAUAAUGUUUGUUUACACAAAUAAAGCAAAAAUUCAAUUUACCUGAAGGAGUAAAUCUGCUCUUGCAAUGAUUCUUUCAUUUUGUCAAUUUACCUUCAAAAUAUGUGCUCUCCAGCCUAGUUUUGUUUGUACAAACAAAUCAAAAAUUUGAUCUAUCUAAGGUAGUAAAACUUUUCAAAAUAUUAAUUUACCUGAAGUAGUAAAUCUUCUCUUCCAAUGAUUCUUCCAUGUUGUCAAGUUCCUUACAGAUUAUGUGAUCUCCUACAUAUUUUUUUAUACCUUUUUAAUUGGUUGAUUACAAAACCGUUACAACUGUUCAUUUUCUAUUGCAACAAUAAAUAUAUUCUUUAUGUUAAAACUUUUCAUUAUCCUCUUUAACUGUAGGUUAAUAGAUGCAUUAGAGGUAUUUAGUAGAUUAUUAUAUUAAGAAAUGAAUUUAAAAGAUCAAAAAAUUGAGGAAAAGAUAAAAUGAAAUGGUGGCCAUAGAGAGAUGCCACAUCAGCUUUUCUAUAUUUAGCUUUAUAUAAAUAUAUAGAUUUAUACUCUCCAAUUUUGAGAGUGCACAAGUAUGCACUUAAACUUGUAAAAUACUAAAAAAGUAGACACACGCAUCCUGUGGCAAAAGACACGUAGGGCGCCACAUAGGACACAAAAUUGUUACGUAGGACACCAUGUAGGACGAAUGUGUCUAUUUGUUCAAUUUUGUACAAGUUUAAGUAUCUACUUGUAAAUAUCCAAAGUUAGAGAGUAUAAAUGCCAGUUGAAGCCAAGUUAAAGAGCACAAUUGCCUUCCUAAAUUAGGGGUGUGCAAAAACCGAUUUAACCAAUAAACCGAACCGAAAAAAACACUAUUGGUUUAUUGAUAUUGGGUUAUUGGGCUAACAGUUUUUAAACGGUUUUGCAAAUUUUUUUAUUGGGCUAUUGGUUCGGUUUCCGGUUUUAUAAUUUUUGUUAAUGGUUAAACCGAUAACCCAAUAAGACUAUACUAAAUUUACUAGUCUUAUUGUUAAUGGUUAAACGAUUGUUACUUUCACACUUUUUGUGAAUGUGUCUAGUGUCUAAACUUGCAAGAAAAAUGAUUGUUACUUUUAUGAUUAUUACUCAUGCCAAAUGCUGGAAAAAUCAUAUGGUUUAUUUGAAAAUUUUCUUAUCGUGUAUAUAAUAUAUAUAAGUAUUUUCUUAUUGGUUAAACCGAAAAUCGAACCGUUAAGUACCAUAAACCGAUUAACCAAAAACCGAUAAGAAAUAUGUUAUUGGUUUGGUUAUCGGUCUGAAGUAUUUACAAACCGAAAACCGAUAAACCGAACCAAUAACACCUAAAACCGAACCGAACCGACCGAUGCGCACCCCUAUCCUAAAUUAUUAACAGUCAUUUUACCAACAAAUUAAUACUAUGUAUUGAUGAUAAAUAGUGGUGGCAAAUGGGCGGGUUGAAAAUGGGUAAUAAUUCAACCCGCUCAUAUUUGAUAUGGGUAAAAAUGAAUUGGGUAACAAAUGGGUUGGGUAAAAUACUAGUUUACCCAUAUUUUACCAUAUUUUCAUGAGUAAAUAAUACUCAACUUAAGAAUUCAACAUGUAGAAAAUAUUUUAGUCUUUUUUUAGAUGAAAAAUGUUGAAAAUGCUUCAUUUAGUAUUAUUGUAUCAUAAAAGUAAAAAAAAAUCCUAUAACUUUUCAAUAUAAAAUAAAUUUAUGUAAUAACAGGGGGGACAUAUUUUUAAUUUCAAAAUAAAUGAAUAUUUGCAUUUUAGAACUAAAACAUGCUUAAUGCACUUUAACCAAUGUCAAUACUAGUACAUGAUUUGCUUAUUUUACACUAUUAUUUAUUAUCCAAUAUAAAAUUAAGCAAAUAAAAAAAUAUAUAAUUAUAAUUAACAAAAGAAAUGUACAUUUAAAAAUAUAUAUUUUUUGGAGGGCCAAAAGACUUUCACCUUUUUCAAUUAUAGAGAAAAAUAAUUAGUUUUAUAGAAGAAUAUGAAAAGGAAGAGAAGUUACAAUAUUUUUAGUGAUAUCAUGAAUUUUGAAUGAAUAAAAGUUAGAAGCUUAACCCAUUUGGUUAAUCCAUAUUUUAUCCAUAUUUUUAUGGGUUGAAUAUGAAUAUCAACCCAUAUUUUACUCAUGUAAAAGGUCACUCACCCAACCCAUUAAAAUAUGAACGGAUUGGGCGGGUUACAAAAUAUGUCCUCAUUUUGCUCGCACUAAUGAUAAGGAACCAAUGGAACUCCUUUAAAGUUUUAUGAACAAUUAAAUCCCUUAUAUCCAAAGACAAAAUUGAAUGAGAGGAAGCAUUUCGUCGAAGGCAAAAGAGAAAAAAAGAUGACAGAGUCAAAAAUGGAAAUAGUGAUGUUCCCAUGGCUUGCUUUUGGGCACUUAAUCCCAUAUAUGAAUCUGUCAAAUGAAAUUGCAAAAAGAGGUCACAAAAUCUCAUUCUUGUUGCCCAAAAAUGCUGAAAUUAGACUUCAAAAACUCAAUCAUUAUCCAAAUCUCAUCAAAUUACAUAAACUGACAAUACCUCAUGUUGAUGGCCUUCCAUAUGGAGCAGAGACUACAGCUGAUGUUCCUACAUCAUUGGAGAGUCUAUUAGCAACAGCUUUUGAUGAAUUGUAUGAUGAAAUCAAAUCUUUUCUUCGAAAUGUUAAACCCCAUUUCAUUUUCUUUGAUUUUGCUUAUUGGAUUCCUGAUUUAGCACGAGAAAUUGGGGGUAUCAAGACUCUGUUUUACAGUGUUUUUAGCCCUGCUGCAGCAUCUAUAUCAUUUGUUAAGUCACCAGAUAAGACUACAUUUAUGGCAUCAACCGCAGCUGAGCUAGUAAAGCCACCACCAGAUUACCCUUCUACUACUGUGGUGUUGCGCGAAAGUGAAGCUAAGUUGUUAUCAUUUCUAUUACAUGAAUAUGGAAAGGGGGUGACAUUUUACGAACGUGUGAAGAAGGGGAUGACAGGAUGCGAUGCAAUAGGUAUGAGAACAUGUAGAGAGAUUGAAGGAACCUUUUGUGACUACAUAGCAACACAUUCUGAAAAGUCAGUCCUUUACACAGGACCUGUUCUUUCCGAGCCGAAAAAUGAGCCUUUAGAAGAACACGGAUUAUCAAAUUGGCUCGAAAAAUUCGAGCCGGGUCAGUAGUGUUUUGUGCAUUUGGGAGCCAAAUGAUUCUUGAAAAGAAACAGUUUCAACAACUCGUUUUAGGCUUUGAACUGACUGAAUUACCAUUUCUUUUAGUUGUUAAGCCUCCUCAAGGGACAAAUUCAGCCGAAGAAGCGUUGCCGGAGGGAUUCAAAGAAAGGGUUCAAGAAAAGGGAUUGAUUCUCGAUUGUUGGGUGCCGCAAUGGGAGAUUUUAAGUCACAAAUCAGUUGGUUGUUUUGUGACUCACUGUGGUUAUGGAUCAAUGUGGGAGUCUUUGGCGCUGUGUGAUUGUCAAUUGGUACUUUUGCCAAGACCUUUUGAACACACUUUAAUUGCUAGGCUUAUGGAACAACAACUUAAGGUUGGCGUAGAAGUGUAGAAAGAUGAAAACGAUUUGUUUACAAAAGAGAAUUUGUGCAAGGCUGUGAAAUGUGUUAUGGAUAAAGAUAGCCAAAUUGGUCGUCUUGUGAAAGAGAAUCAUAAGAAAUGGAAGGAACUUCUUUCGAGUCCUGGCUUCAUGAGUAACUACAUCGAUAACUUCAUUCAAGACUUGCAUGAACUUCUAGUUGAAAAGACCUAGAUAAUUAGCAGGGGUGGAUCUAAUAUUGAAGUUACGAGUUAAGUGUAUUGUGUUAAGAAAUUUUGCUUAAUAUGUAUGAAUAAUCCAUCCCAACCGAUUCAGAAUUUAUAAACUCAAAACUGUCUAUCUAGUGAUGUAACUUGCAUUUUUCUAACGUUUUCAUGCCGUGUUUAGGAGUUAUACACCUUCCUUUCAAAUUUAGAGUUUUUAUUUUUAGAUAACAUUUUUACCUCUAAAUGCACUUCUGAACACUCAAAGAAGUGUACAAGUUUAGAUCUAAAGUUAAGUCUGGUAUAUUAUAACUACGGAAAAGGACCAAAAAUAUUCUGUCUACAUUUUUUUAGCAUAGAAGAGUCAAUCCAUUAGCUGCAUUACAAGAUUUUAAUUCCAUCUUUUGCCCCUCUUCCAAAUGACAUGUAAAACCAGAACAGGGAAAGAUUUUGUUCACUAACAUCUAAAGUUGAUAAGGUUAAGAAAAGAUUAUUUUCAGUAAAAUAAAAUAAAAUAGAGAGAAGAUAUAUAGAUGGAAUAGAGGACAAUUUAUAAAGGAUCAUAAUUUAUCCAUCUUUUGAACAUAACAAAACAUUCUUCAGGUUUGUCUGUACAAGCUGUGUCCUGAUCCCUAUUAAAUAAAAAUAAAAAUAAACGUAAAAUUAAAUACAAAUAUAAAAUAUAAAUAAAUCUCUUUAAAUAUAACUCAAUCUGGCUAAAUUGAUAUACAUGAAUUGCUUCUCAAUUUUCAUGUAACUUGUUUCUAAAAUUAAUUUCAUACCUUCACUGUUGCAUAAGUCAUUUUGUUGGAGUAAGAUCUCGUAUAGCUACAAUGAUACGAUAUUUGAAAAAUGAUUAAGUAUUAUCAACUCACAUAAUAAUUAGUUUUAAUUAAGAAUUCAUAAUUGUAAUUAAGGAUGUAAAAUUUGGAGAUUAAUUACCCAGCAACUUGAUUGUUUAUGUUCCUAUUGACGCCAAUCAUCAUCAAUAGAGUAGUUUAGAGACUUUAUCCAUGUUUGUGUAUCUUGAAAAGGUACCAUAUAAUCAUGAUCUCCACUGUUAAAUUAAACAUAAAAAGGAAAAACUUCCAUUAUAUAUAUUCAUGAAAUAAGUUGUUUCACUAUAAACUAAUAUACCAAUUAUCUUUAAAUAUAAAAACUGAAGAGUAAUUGGGAACCUGGAUUUAAAAGAUCAUUAAUAAUAUAAUAGUUUGUGUUUGGUACGAAUAAGUCCUUUGACCUUUUGGCAUUACCAUUGAAAAUAUUUAAUAACAUUCUUUUCAGUUCAAUUUAUUGAUGGGUUUGAUUUUUUAUACACUUUUAAAUUCGGAUAUCAUGCGAGUUAGAAUUAUAAUCAUUAGUUGAUAAUAACGGUAAUCUAAAGCUAAAUAUAUAAAGUUAAAACAGACACAAACAUAACAAUGAAUAUUAAUUACCUGUAUAUAAGUGAUCAAUAGCCUUUAGUGUUUAGAUUUGCAUGAUAUGGUACAACAUUAUGUACCGUCAAAGUGUAGUUGUGAUGAGAGCCUUCACUUAUAUCUCUUCUACAUGUUAUCCAGCUUUCUAUAAUUCCCUGCAAAGAGUAAAAUCACAAGUAAAAUUAUCAUUUUAUUUAGAAAAACAAUUCUAAUUAGAUAAACACUCCUAUAUUUGUCUUUAUUUUUUUUGUAAGUAUGUAAUUAUGACGUAAUUACACCAAAAACAUGUAUUUGAAUAAUUAUAUUUUCGUCUUUAUUUUUUUAAGUAUGCAAUUAAGGCGUAAUUACACCAAAUACUUAUAUCUGGAUGACUUUAUCUUCGUCUGCAUUUUUUUCUAAGUAUGUUAUCUAUGCAUAGAUAUUCUGGAUACAUCACAAAAUUGGUAUCAGAUAGAUGUAUUUAUGCACAGAUAUACUAGUAUCAUCACAAAUACAUUGAAAACAUCAAUACAUUUUUAUACUAAAUAUACUAGAUAAAUUUGAUAUACACAGAUACAUUGAAUACAUCAAUGCAUAUUAAAUACUGAAUAUAUGAAUACAUGAAAGUGUGAUAUAUAAAUACAUUAUGAAACAUAAAUACAAGAAACUAGAGGGAUGAAAGAGGCGGACGAUAGAGGAGAGAGAUGAGAUACAUUUACUAGAUACAGUGUAUCUAGAGACAACUCAAACAAGAUUCAUAAUAAUUGAAUGCAUUAAGUAAUUAGCACCUAUAUUGGUGUACUUUAUGAAAGUUUAUUUUUUAUUUAUUGAUUCUUACGAGGUGUAUCAAGUCAAUAUUAUAAGUAGUAUAUAUAUAUAUAUACACACACUUGUAAUCCACAUACCUUCCGAACAUGAAGAGCUUCUUGGACUUCAUGGUCAUUAGCCCAAUACCUCAUAGGCUUGCGCCAAUCAGACUGAAGUAAUUGAGAAAAAGUUUUUACGGUUAGUAGUAUCUUAUUUAUUCAUUUAAGUUAAAUACAGAGACAAUAAAUAUAAUAAUUUAUAUAUAUAGCCUAGGCCAUUAUCAAUCAUUUUCUUCACUUCUAUUUGUCGUAUUCUUUUUUUUUCAAAAUUUUUAGGAUAUAAUUUCUCAAUGGAUGAGGGUAGUUUUUUUUUAAUGUCAUUCAAUUUUUUUUUAACCAAAAGUCAAUUAAUUAAUUAUAGUAUAAAACAAAAUUGAGCAACUUUCUAAAAGAAUUCUCCGAAGUUAAGUGAUCAUCUAAGAUAUUUUUUUAGUGAUCAUCUAAGAUAUUAUCAUUUUUUCCUCUUUUUUUGUUUAGAAAUAUCUUUUAUUAUUAUUGAACAUUGUUAGUUGGGCAUCUAUUUCUCAUAUGUCGUUUCAUAUCGAGAAAAUUAGGAAUGUAUACCGUCAUUAACUACAACAAUAGAAUAGACUCCUAUGCUGAGAGUAUAUGGGUAUAGAGUCUAGCUAACCACCUCAACUUCCAUUCUGACAUGCUAUAAAUAUUAAAGUCACUUGACGGCAAAAAUAUGAGGUAUAAAAAAACUAAAAAAAAACUUACAUCACACUUAUCUUCACGUUGCAAGGAGAUGAGUUUAUCAUCAAGUAAUCUUCUUUCACUAGUCAUUUGAUACAUGUCUUUAGGAUCAUCAUCAUUUGUGCAAAAGGGUUUUAAUACGUGUUCCACAUUAAUGUUUCUUAUCAUCUGCAUAAUUAUAUUUUAAUUUAAUCACAUAAAAAUAAUUAAUAAUAUAUUAUCACACGUUAAACUAUAUCGAUUGAUAGUACUGUAAAACAAUACUUAUAACCUGUUUGAAAUUUCGAAAGUCAUUUGCACAUCCUGUAUUGUUGGGAUGUAUGUUUGUGUAUUCUCCUCUACAAUUCUUCUCUAAUGACUGUUAAGACAAAUUAAUAUUCAAAUUAACUUGAUAUGUCAAAUUCUAAAGUUAAUUAUAUAUAUUUUAGAAUAAUGUGGAAAGUAAUUAAAACAAAUUAAUUACUCUGUCCAUUCGCUAUUCUAUAAAAUCUUAUUUUGACAAAUAAAUCUCAACAAACAAAUUUUAAAAAAAGAUGGAGAAAAAAAUAAAAAAUAAUCUUGAAAUUUGAAUCUUUAACAAUUUUUUAUAAUUUUUUUAGCUCAAUUGGUGAAAAAAUUUGGUUCCAAAAAUAAACUCAAAAAUUUAAAUAGUCAUCCAAAUGCAUUUUAAUUUUUGAAAUCUAGCAUAUUCAUCAUUUAUUGAAAAGUUGACUUAAGAAAACAUUAAAUAACACUAAAAGGGUAAAGUUACUUAAUUUCUUAAUGCAAGUGCAAUCUAAAAAGAUGACAUAUAAAAAAGAACGGAGGGAGUAUAUACCUUUUGUUUUGGUCCGUAAGUUUUCUUUCUUCACUUUUUUUUUUUUUUUUUGGAAUUCAAAUUAUGUAAGUAUCUCAAAAUGUAUAUUUAUCAUCUAAAAAUAAGAAGAAAUUGUAACUUAUCGUAUAAUUUUGAGUAACUAUAUGUUAAUUGGGAAACAUUCAUGAAUUAAUUUAAUCCAAAUCUAACUAUAAAGAUUGAUCAAAUUUAACUUUUAAAAAGCAAAAACUAUAUCAUAAAUUAAAAUAUGACAUAAAAUAUAAUUUAAUUUUUAGUUUUUAAAGUUCAUACAAAAUUUAAAUAAAAUAAUCAAAUAAUAUAAAAUAAAGAGAGUACUAGAUUGUUUUAUUUGUUGCACAUAUUUUUCUCUACGUGGAUAAAAUAUAACCACACUACUUUAGUUUGAUAUUUUAGGUAUCCUCGGGUCCCGCAGGAGUAAUUAGUAAUUUUGCUGAAUUAAUGCAAGCUGGUUAGAUGUGUGAAAUAGAGGACUCGUACGUAUUUGUUAUUAUUGCUACAAUAAAGAGAUUAAAGUUUUGACAAAGACUAAACAACUAUCGAUCUGCCAUUAAUAGAGAAAUAAGAUAGCUAGCAAGAGAAGUAGAGAGAUAGAUUAUAGAUAUCUUCUGGAUCUGCCCAAGACUUUAGCAAUGGGUUUAAUAUAUUUGAGUUAAGAUAGAUAAAAGGUUGGACAUGAGUUUUAAUUUGGGAAUGACUCGUUUUUAAGAAAAAGGGGUACUUUGGGCUGAUUUGAGGCUUUUCGUCAAAUUACAGAUAUGAGCGACAAGUUUGUAAAUGGAGGGAUUUAAAUGACCACAUAGUAUAACUGAGGAUAAAACUAUCAAAGUUGUGGAAUAUGUUUUUAUUUGAACAUUCAAUUUGAAUUUUUUAAAGUGCAAAUCCUAAUACAAAUUAAAUGUGAAAUACAGUCUAAAGCUUUUACAAAUGAUUCAUUUAAUUCUGGUCCCAAAUGUAGUCUAUUCACUGUCUCCAAAUUAAUUACUCCCUCCGUUCCUUUUUAUAUGUCAUCCAUUUCUAUAAAUAGUUAGUUCAUAAUACUUGUCAUUUCAUAAAAUUAAUGCAUAAAUUAUCAUAUUCCUCCUAUUAUACCCUUGAUAGAGUAGUUAAUUAGUCUUGAAAAUAUAUACUUUGACCAACCUAGGAAAACUAAUAAGUAAUUAAUAUUCAUGGGAGUACUUCAUACAUUGAUUAAUUACUCUCUCCAUUUACUAUUCUAUAAAAUUUUAUUUUGACAAAGAAAUCUCAACAAACAAAUUAAAAAUAAAAGAUUGAGAAAAAAUAAAAAAUAAUCUUGAAAUUUGAAUCUUUAACAAAUUUUUAGCUCAAUUGGUGAAAAAAUUUGGCUCCAAAAAUAAACUCAAAAAUUUAAAUAUUCAUCCAAAUGCAUUUUCAUUUUUGAAAUCUAGCAUAUUCAUCAUUUAUUAUAGGGGUGUACAAAAUCGAACCGAAAACCGAACCAAAUCGCAAACCGAGUCAAACCGGAAAUAAACCCGACUAGUGGUUUGGUUUGACUUGGUUUGGUAUUGGAAAAAAAAAACUCGAUUAUAUUUGGGUUUGUUUGGUUUCAACUAAAAAAAAUCAACCCGAGACCAAACUAACCCAACAAUAUAUAAAUAAUUUUAAAAUUUUAUUUUAUACGUAAAAAUAUUUACUUUGAUAUAAUUUUUAAAUAUUUCUUCUACUUUUUCAUAGUUUUUAUCUUUUAAUAUAUUAUUUCAUGAUUGAAAGAUAGAAUUCUUAAUGACCCAAUAAAAAUUAUAGUCCAUAGAUAUUGGUAAUUAUAAUAAAGCUUAAAUCAAAAUCAAAUUAAUACUAAUGCAAAAAGAAAAUCAAUUCAACACUAAGAAUGAAAAUAAUAUUGAAUAUUUGUUCUUUGGUUUUACAUUGGUUUAGACAAUUNNNNNNNNNNNNNNNNNNNNNNNNNNNNNNNNNNNNNNNNNNNNNNNNNNNNNNNNNNNNNNNNNNNNNNNNNNNNNNNNNNNNNNNNNNNNNNNNNNNNNNNNNNNNNNNNNNNNNNNNNNNNNNNNNNNNNNNNNNNNNNNNNNNNNNNNNNNNNNNNNNNNNNNNNNNNNNNNNNNNNNNNNNNNNNNNNNNNNNNNNNNNNNNNNNNNNNNNNNNNNNNNNNNNNNNNNNNNNNNNNNNNNNNNNNNNNNNNNNNNNNNNNNNNNNNNNNNNNNNNNNNNNNNNNNNNNAUUAUUAUUAUUAUUUGGAUAUUUUAGUGUCAUUAAUCAUAUCAUAUUGUGUUAUAUUUUUAAGAAACAUCUUAGAUAGUUGUAUUUUAAUAGGACUAAAAAAAUAUUUGAAGUAUAAGUAAAUUAUACGUUUGUACGAAUACUUUACCGAAAAAAUCCAAAAAAAUCCGAGGUUGAAAAACCCGACUUUUAUUGGUUUGGUUUAUAAAUUCAAAAAUCCGACACAAAUGGUUUGGUUUGAUAUUUGAAAAACCCGAACCAACCCGACCAUGUACACCCCUAAUUUAUUAAAAAGUUGACUUAAGAAAACAUUAAAUAAGGGCAGAAGGGUAAAGUUACUUAAUUUCCUAAUGCAAGUGCAAUCUAAAAAAAUGACAUAUAAAAAGAUACGGAGGGAGUAUAUACCUUUUCUUUUGGUCCGUAAGUUUUCUUUCUUCACUUUUUUGUUUUUUGGAAUUCAAAUUGUGUAAAUAUCUCAAAAUGUAUAUUUUAUCAUCUAAAAAUAAGAAAUUGUAACUUAUCGUAUAAAUUUGAAUAACUAUAUGUUAAUUUGGAAACAUUCAUGAAUUAAUUUAAUCAAAUCUAACUUUAAAGAUUGAUCAAAUUUAACUUUUUAAAAAGCAAAAACUAUAUCAUAAAUUAAAAUAUUACAUACAAUUUAAUUUAAUUUAAUUUUUACUUUUUUAAAGUUCAUACAAAAAUUUAAAUAAAAUAAUCAAAUAAUAUAAAAUGAAGAGAGUACUGGAUUGUUUUAUUUGUUGCACAUAUUUUUCUCUACGUGGAUAAAAUAUAACCACACUACUUUAGUUUAAUAUUUUAGGUAUCCUCGGGUCCCGCAGGUGUAAUUAGUAAUUUUGCCGAAUUAAUGGGUCAUGCAAGCUAGUAAGAUGUGUGAAAUAGAGGACUCAUACACAUUUGUUAUUGUUGCUAUAAUCAAGAGAUUAAACUCUCGAAAAAGACUAAACAACUACCGAUAUGCCAUUAAUAGCGAGAUAAGAAAAAAUAUUUGAGAAAUAAACUUAAUUCUAAAAGAGAAAUGAAUUCACUAUCAAGAUAACUGGCAAGAGAAGUAGAGAGAUAGAUUAUAGAUAUCUUCUGGAUCUGCCCAAGACUUUAGCAAUGGGUUCAAUUUAUUUGGGUUAAGAUAGAUAAAAGGUCGGACAUGACUUUCAAUUUGGGAAUGACUCGUUUUUAAGAAAAACAGGUAAUUUGGGCUGAUUUGAGGCUUUUCCUCAAAUUAGAGAUAUGAGUGACAAGUUUGUAAAUGGAGGGAUUUAAAUGGUCACAUAGUAUAACGGAGGAUAAAACUAGCAAAGUUGUGGAAUAUCUUUGACCCUUCUCCUAUUAAAAUUAGCAAAAAUUAUCUAAAUACACAAUUUAUUUUAUCAUGUUCUCUAAAAUUUCCUAUCAUUUGUAAAAGUUACAAAAAUCUUUACUCUCUCCUAUUCUCGCAUACAUCGCUUUACGCGAUUUAUCGGUCAGAUACAUAUAUCACUUUACAUGAUGUAUCGGUCAGAUACAUCACUUGUGCUAUGUAUCAAGACGUUGAGUGAUGUAUUCGAAACUGAAACGCGAUGUAUCGGAAUAUUGAGGAUGUAUAAGCUGGGACACGAUGUAUCAUGGCGUUUUGGGAUGUAUUUGGAUUCCACCAAAUUUAAUUUUUUGUAAAUUCAAAAUAAGAGUAGGAAUAAGAUGUAAUUAGUUGUUAACAUAUUGAGAUUCGUGUAAAAUUCCUUUAAAAUUAUGCUAUAUUUGAUUGAAGUUUAUGAAUAUAUCUCAAACUCCAGUAGGAUAAAUUGAAAGCAAUUCAUCAAAGGCAAAGCAGGAAAAAAAGGAUUACACAUUCUACAGAAGAGUCAAAGCUGAAAAUAGUGAUGUUCCAAUGGCUUGCUUUUGGGCACUUGAUCCCAUAUAUACCUUUAAAAUACACUAUUAAAUAAUACAGGGGUAAAAGGUCCUCUAUAAAGUUUGAUAUUGUAACAACAAUUUCGGCCAAAAUUGAAGUAUUUUUCAGACCAUUUUCCCAAUUUAGAUUUAUUAUUUUGAUGGUCAAAUAUAUUUAAGUUUCGCUAAUAUUCUUGUAAAAUUCAUUAUAGAUGACCCAAUUUUUUCUUCAAAUACAAAAACUAAAUUAUAAUAUAUCCGAAAAAAAUAGUUUUAAAUUUUUUUCUUUACACUAAGGAAUGAAAGAAAAAAAAUAAAAUAAGAAUAAGAAACUCAAAUAAUGAUAAUCAAGAAGUCAAAAAAUAAUUUAUGUCCGAAAAAAAUUAUAACAUACCUUGAAAUUUGCUAGAAAAAUCAUAUAUCCCCCUAAAUGAUUUUUAAAAAAAAUCAAAAGUAAAAAAUAUAAAUUUAAAACUAUUUUUUUUCACUUCUGUUAAAUGAAGGGUAUAUGUGAGCCGUUUGUAUAACGGUAAGGGUAUAUAUGAGUCAUUUUCAUAACGAGGGGCAUAUCAGCUCCAAAUGGAAAAGUUGAGGGGUAUAUCGGACCCUUUUCCCUAGGUAGAUAUUAUUUAGUAGUAAAAGACUAUUUUACCCUUGUCCUCCUCCUCCUCAUGUUUCUAUAUAGUAGAAAUAAUAUACUCCCUCCGUUUUACAAAGAAUGACCUCAUUUCUUUUUUAGUCAAUUUAAAAAAAAAUGAUCUUUUUCUUUUUUUGGUAAUAUUUUAAUUUUAGCUUUCCAUGUGGCAUGUUUAAGGCCACAAGAUUAAAGGGAAAUUUUGUACAUUUGACAUAACUUUAAUUUAGGACCACAAAUUCAAAAGUCUUCUUUAUUUUUCUUAAACUUCGUGCCAAGUCAAAUUAGAUCAUUCUUUGUGAAACGGAGGGAGUAAUAGAUAGUAAGAUUGAAAUGAUAUAUAAAAAAAAGGGCUCACAUGCAUUACACAUGUUUAGAGGCUAUUAGUGAGAAAACAAGGUAAGGCCAAGUACAUAGUACAAUUUGUAUUGCUCAUUGUACAACUUUUCAUAGCCAUGGCCGUCCUUCCAUGGCUGUUCUAUAUAAUAUAAUAAAAGGCCAAACACAUAUAUAACCCUUCUAACUUGCCCUCAUUUUUCAUUUUGACACUCCAACUUAGCCUUGUUCCAUUUUAAUACUUAAACUCCAUUUUUUAUAUACCAUUUUAACACGAAAUACUAUUUUUAUGAUUUCUUUAUUUUUAUAUAUAUUCUUCAAUUGCAACUUCUUAUUUUAAAUCGACAUGUGUCAGUUAAUUUUAGUUUAAAAAAAUAAAAAUUAACAAAAAGUAAUUCUUUUUAAAAAAUAAUAAUUUCUUUUUAAGAGUUUUAUGUAUUUUUAUGUGAAAAAUAACCGAGUAUUUUUGUGUGAAAAAUAACUGACGAAAUUGUGUUUGUUUUCUUUCUUUAAAAUCACCGACAACCUAACAAAGUCAGUCGAGUUUUAACAUUGUUUAGUAGUGUUAUUAGCAAUGAACAAGAGUCUUUUUUACUCGUAUUGAAGAUGAGUUUUCUUAUUCGUAUUGAUUUAUAUUAAAAAUUAAAAGUGAGUAUUUGCGUUAAAUUUAGAUAGCCUAGAUGAUAAGAAAAAAUAAAUAAGUAGUGUUAUUUAAUUUAAUUGAAUGUUUAAGAAAGAAAAUCAAAGAACUUUCGUCAAUUUACUUUCAUGCAAAAAUACAGAGAAAUCUCAAAAAAUAAUAUUAUUGUUUGAAAUUUUUUAUGUUCGUUCGCGAAUGUUCAAUUUUUUUAUGAAAAUUAACAAAUACACGUCUAUUUUUUUAAAAUAAAAAAUUGCAAUUGAAGAACAUAAAUAAAUAAAAAAAUCAUGAAAAUUAGUAUUAUUGUUUAAAUGGUACAGAAAAAAUGGAGGUUAAGGGUUAAAAUGGAACAAGGCUAAGUUGGAGUGCCAAAAUGAAAAAUGAGGACAAGUUUGAGGGGUUGUGUAAGGAACCUUUCUGAACCAGUGGGUCCCACUCAGGGAUAACAUAUUGAUGGAUCUUUCGAGAUGAAAUAUGAAAUUAGAUUGUUAUAAAAUCGGAAUUUUACAUCAAAAUUAGAUUGGAAAAUAUCUAUCUAAUAAUUUGAGAUAGGAGAAAAAAAAGAUGACAGAGUUCAUACAAGAGUCAAAAAUGGAAAUAGUGAUGUUCCCAUGGCUUGCAUUUGAGCACUUUAAAGGGUCGUAGAUGGCUUAAGCCUAAAUACCCCCAAUUAUCCGCGGCCCCAUGCCCCCAAUUAUUUAAAAGUGAACUUAAAAAAAAAAAAUCAAUACCAGAAUUCAAUUACUCUCAAGGAGCAUAUCAUAUCCUCUUUGGGAUCAAUUUAACAUCUCAAAGGAGAAAAAAAAAGAUGAUAGAGUCCAUAGAAGAGUCAAAGAUGAAUAUAAUGAUGUUCCCAUGGCUUGGUUUUGGACACUUGGUCCCAUAUAUGACUCUGUCAAAUGAACUUGCAAAAAGAGGUCACAAAAUCUCAUUCUUGUUGCCCAAAAAUGCUGAAAUUAGACUUCAAAAACUCAAUCUUUAUCCAAAUCUCAUCAAAUUUCAUAAACUGACAAUACCUCAUGUUGAUGGCCUUCCAUAUGGAGCAAAGACUACAGCUGAUGUUCCUGAAUCCUUGGAGAGUCUAUUAGCAACAACUUUUGAUGAAUUGUAUGGUGAAAUCAAAUCUUUUCUUCAAAAUCUAAAACCCCAUUUUGUUUCUUUGAUUUUGCUUAUUGGAUUCCUGAUUUAGCACAAGAAAUUGGAGGUAUCAAGACUCUGUUUUACACUAUUUUUAGCCUGGCUGAAUUGUCUGUAUCACCGGAUAAGGCUACUUUUAUGGCAUCAACUGCAGCUGAUCUAGUAAAGCCACCACCAGAUUACCCUUCUACUACUGUGGUGUUGCGCGAAAGUGAAGCUAAGUUGUUAUCAUUUCUGUUUCAUGAAUAUGGAAAGGGGGUGACAUUUUACGAACGGGUGAAGAAGGGGAUGACAGGAUGCGAUGCAAUAGGUAUGAGAACAUGUAGAGAAAUUGAAGGAACCUUUUGUGACUACAUAGCAACACAUUCUGAAAAGCCCGUCCUUUACACAGGACCUGUCUUUCCAAGCCGAAAAAUGAGCCUUUAGAAGAACACGGAUUAUCAAAUUGGCUCGAGAAAUUCGAGCCAGGAUCAGUAGUGUUCUGUGCAUUUGGGAGCCAAAUGAUUCUUGAAAAGAAACAGUUUCAAGAACUCGUUUUAUGGUUUGAACUGACUGAAUUACCAUUUCUAUUAGUUGUUAAGCCACUCAAGGGACAAAUUCAAUAGAAGAAGCGUUGCCGGAGGGAUUCAAAGAAAGGGUUCAAGAAAAGGGAUUGAUUCUUGAUUGUUGGGUGCCACAAUUGGAGAUUUUAAGUCACAAAUCAGUUGGUUGUUUUGUGACUCACUGUGGUUAUGGGUCGAUGUGUGAGUCUAUUGUUGGGUUUAUGAUUAACCUGAAUACAUGAGAUAACAUCUUUGGCGCUGUGUGAUUGUCAAUUGGUACUUUUGCCAAGACCUUUUGAACACACUUUAAUUGCUAGGCUUAUGGAACAACAACUUAAGGUUGGCGACUUGGCGUAGAAGUUGAGAAAGAUGAAAACGAUUUGUUUACGAAAGAGAAUUUUUGCAAGUCUGUGAAAUGUGUGAUGGAUAAAGAUAGCCAAAUUGGUUGUCAUGCGAAAGAAAAUCAUAGGAAAUGGAAGGACCUUAUUUCAAGUACUGGCUUCAUGACUAACUAUAUUGACAACUUUGUUGACAACUUGCAUGCACUUCUUGUUGAAAACACCUAGAUUAGCGGGAAGGUUAAUAGGUAUGAAUAAUUCAUGUACAAUCAAUGGUUAUCUUGUUUUGAAAUUCUGAAUUCAUAAAUUUAAAAUCUUAUAUUUGAAUAAAUAUAUUAUACUAAUAUUUUCAUAAAUAUAAUGAUCAUCUAAUAUUGAUCUUUUUAAUUAAAAGUUCAGUUUAGUCUUUUGAUUACAUCGGAAUUUUAAGUUUUUUUUGUAUCUUGGAUAUUUUAAUGUAGUUAUUUAAGAGUUAUACAGCUUCCUUCAAAUUUAGUGUUAUUUUUUACUACCUCAAGAAAAAUACUAUCCAGAGUUAGUGAUACAUUUGUUAUAUCUUAUAACAUGUAUUGUGUUAGUAAUGCUCCAACCUAGUAUGAUUAAGUUAUUUUCUGAACCACUUAAGUUACUAUGAACUUAGAAAUAUUUUAGACCCCAAGGUAUUGAUAGCAAAAUAUUAGGCGAAUUGAAAUGGUCAAUUAUAUAAAUUAUUCAAAGUUUAAUAGAAUUAUUGUAUUUUUUUUUCAUAUUUACUUUUCAUUUAAUGAGAUUUUUAACUAUUUUACAUUUUCUAUCCUAACAUGAUGAGAUAUAGGCCCUCUAAAAUAUGUGUUGGUGAGAAAUCCAAUGUUUCAGUUCCUUGGAAAUGGACGAUAGAUAAAGAUUUUUAAAAAUGUUAUAAAAACUUUGACUAUAUAGUAUAAUAUGUUAGAUGAUGUGCUAAAUAAUUUAAACUAAUAAAUUUUAUUAGAUAUAUUUAUGUUAUUUGAAUUUUAAGAGCACUAUAUAUUGAUAAUGCAUCUUCACAUAAAAUUCAUGAAUUUACUCAUUUUAUAGGAUACCUACCACUUAGGUUAUCUAAUAAUAAAUGUAUCGUGAGCCAAACUCCCCACUUGACUAUACUUUUCAUCGAUCCGAUAAUCGUUUGUGAUGAAUUCUCAUAAAGCAUGUAGAUAAACUUCACUCUAUACAUUUUACAAAUAGCAGAAGAAAAAAUUGUCAUAACUAAAGCAAAUAUUAUUAAUAAUUUUUUUAAAAUAAUAACAUAAUAUCUUAUGUAUUCAAUAUUCAAUAGCAUGAUAAUGUUUUCAAAGAUACGGUGAAUUAGGGGUGUACAUGGCCGGGUUGGUUCGGGUUUUUCAAAUAUCAAACCAAACCAUUUAGGUCGGAUUUUUAAAUUUAUAAACCAAACCAAACCAAUAAAACUCGGGUUUUUCAACCUCGGGUUUUUUCGGGUUUUUCGGUUUUUCGGGUUUUUCCGGUAAAGUAUUCAUACACAACAUAUAAUUUACUUGUACUUCAAAUAUUUCUUUAGUCCUACCAAAAUACAACUAUCUAAGAUGUUUCUUAAAAAUAUAACACAAUAUAAUAUGAUUAAUGACACUAAAAUAUCCAACAAAAAUAAUAAUAAUGAAAUCGCGUAAAACAAAUAUUGCAAAUUAACAAGUCAUAAUGAAAAUGAUCAUAAUUUAAAAGUACUAAAUCAUGCUAAAAUUAAGUUUAAUAAGUAUUAGUUACAUGACUAAAUAUUAAAGAAAAUUAAAAUUAGAUUAUGUAUUUUAAUUGUCUAAACCAAUGUAAAACUAAAGAACAAAUAUUCAAUAUUAUUGUCAUUCUUAGUGUUGAAUUGAUUUUCUUUUUGCAUUAGUAUUAAUUUGAUUUAGAUUUAAGCUUUAUUAUAAUUACCAACAUCUGUGAACUAUAAUCUUUAUUGAACCAUUUAGAAUUCUAACUCAAACUUGAAAUAAUAAUAUAUGAAAAGAUAAAAACUAUGAAAAAGUAUAAGAAAGAUUUAAAAAUUAUUUCAAAGUAAAUAUUUUUAUGUAUAAAAUAAAAUUUUAAAAUUAUAUAUAUAAUGUCGGGUUGAUUUGGUCUCGGGUUGGUUUUUUUUAGUUAAAACCAAACCAACCCAAAUAUAGUCGGAUUUUUUUUAUAUAAAUUCGGGUUGGUUUGGUCUCGGGUUGGUUUUUUUUAGUUAAAACCAAACCAACCCAAAUAUAGUCGGGUUUUAUUUUUCAAAACCAAACCAAGUCAAACCAAACCACUAGUCGGGUUUUUUUUCCGGGUUGACUCAGUUUGCGGUUUGGUUCGGUUCUCGGUUCGGUUUUGUACACCCCUACGGUGAAUGAUAAAUUGACCUCAGUUUAUUAGUCUUUUUUAAAAAGUGAGAAAAUAUAUAAGAUAAUAUAAAGGAUAUUUAUAAAGGAUCGUGACUAUUCCAUCUUUUGAACAUAACAAAACAUUCUUCAGGCUUGUAGGAACUAAUUGUGUGUCCUGCUUCCUAUUAAAAAAAACAAAUAAAGUAAAAAUAUAAUAAUCAAAAGCUCUUAAAAAAAUUCAAUUUAGCUAAAUUGAGAUAAAUUAACUUAUAUAGUGUAAAAUUAGUGGCACAAUUAAUUUUAAAUACCUUCACGGUUGCACAAGUCAUUUAGUUGGAGUAAGAUCUUGUAUAACUACAAUGAUACGAUAUUAGAAAAAUGAUUAAGUAUUAUCAACUAACUUAAUGAUUAGUUUUAAUUAAAAAUUCAUAAUUGUAAUUAAGGAUGUUAAAUUUGGAGAUUAAUCACUCAGCAACUUGAUUAUUUACGUUCCAUGGAUGCCAAUCAUCAUCAAUAGAGUAGUUUAGAGACUUUAUCCAUGUUUGUGUGUCUUGAAAAGGUACUAUAUAAUCAUGAUCUCCACUGUUAAAUUAAACAUGAAAAAAAAAACUUCCAUUAUAUAUAUAUAUAUAUAUUCAUGAAAUAAGUUGUUUCUGUUGGAAAGCUAUAUUUGAUGAUAAGGAACGAAUGGACCUCCUUUAAAGUUUUAUGACACAUAUUUGUGAACAAUUAAAUCCCAUAUCUCCAAAGACAAAUAUGUGCACAAAAUUGAAAGAGAGGUAGCAUUUCGUCAAAGGCAAAAGAGUAAAAAAGAUGACAGAGUCCAUAGAAGAGUCAAAACUGGAAAUAGUGAUGUUCCCAUGGCUUGCUUUUGGUCACUUAAUCCCAUACAUGAAUCUGUCAAAUGAACUUGCAAAAAGAGGUCACAAAAUCUCAUUCUUGUUGCCCAAAAAUGCUGAAGUUAGACUUCAAAAACUCAAUCUUUACCCAAAUCUCAUCACAUUACAUAAACUGACAAUGCCUCACGUUCAUGGCCUUCCAUAUGGAGCAGAGACUACAGCUGAUGUUCCUGGAUCCUUGGAGAGUCUAUUAGCAACAGCUUUUGAUGAAUUGUAUGAUGAAAUCAAAUCUUUUCUUCAAAAUCUAAAACCCCAUUUCGUUUUCUUUGAUUUUGCUUAUUGGAUUCCUGAUUUAGCACUAGAAAUUGGGGGUAUCAAGACUCUAUGUUACAAAGUUGUUUGCCCUGCUAUAUCAUCUAUAGCAUUGAUUCGAUCACCGGUUAAGACUACAUUUAUGGCAUCAACUGCAGCUGAGCUAGUAAAGCCACCACCAGAUUACCCUUCUACUACUGUGGUGUUGCGUGAAAGUGAAGCUAAGUUGUUAUCAUUUCUAUUUCAUGAAUAUGGCAAGGGGGUGACAUUUUACGAACGAUCCAAGAAGGGAAUGACAGGAUGCAACGCAAUAGGUGUGAAAACAUGUAGAGAGAUUGAAGGAACCUUUUGUGACUACAUAGCAACACAAUUUGAAAAGCCAGUCCUGUACACAGGGCCUGUUCUUGCUGAACCGACAAAGGGGCCUUUAGAAGAACAUGGAUUAUCGGAUUGGCUCGAGAAAUUCGAGGCAGGAUCAGUAGUGUUCUGUGCAUUUAGGAGCCAAAUGAUUCUUGAAAAGAAACAGUUUCAACAACUUGUUUUAGGCUUUGAACUGACUGAGUUACCAUUUCUUUUAGUUGUUAAGCCACCUGAAGGGACAAAUUCAGUAGAAGAAGCCUUGCCGGAGGGAUUCAAAGAAAGGGUUCAAGAAAAAGGAUUGAUUCUUGAUUGUUGGGUGCCACAAUUGGAGAUUUUAAGUCACAAAUCAGUUGGUUGUUUUGUGACUCACUGUGGUUAUGGGUCGAUGUGGGAGUCUUUGGCACUGUGUGAUUGUCAAUUGGUACUUUUGCCAAGGCCUAUUGAUCACAUNNNNNNNNNNNNNNNNNNNNNNNNNNNNNNNNNNNNNNNNNNNNNNNNNNNNNNNNNNNNNNNNNNNNNNNNNNNNNNNNNNNNNNNNNNNNNNNNNNNNNNNNNNNNNNNNNNNNNNNNNNNNNNNNNNNNNNNNNNNNNNNNNNNNNNNNNNNNNNNNNNNNNNNNNNNNNNNNNNNNNNNNNNNNNNNNNNNNNNNNNNNNNNNNNNNNNNNNNNNNNNNNNNNNNNNNNNNNNNNNCUCUUUAAAUAUAACUCAAUCUGGCUAAAUUGAUAUACAUGAAUUGCUUCUCAAUUUUCAUGUAACUUGUUUCUAAAAUUAAUUUCAUACCUUCACUGUUGCAUAAGUCAUUUUGUUGGAGUAAGAUCUCGUAUAACUACAAUGAUACGAUAUUAGAAAAAUGAUUUAAGUAUUAUCAACUAACAUACUAAUUAGUUUUAAUUAAAAAAUCAUAAUUGUAAUUAAGGAUGUAAAAUUUGGAGAUUAAUUACCCAGCAACUUGAUUGUUUACGUUCCAUUGACGCCAAUCAUCAUCAAUAGAGUAGUUUAGAGACUUUAUCCAUGUUUGUGUGUCUUGAAAAGGUACCAUAUAAUCAUGAUCUCCACUGUUAAAUUAAACAUAAAAAGAAAAAACUUCCAUUAUAUAUAUAUUCAUGAAAUAAGUUGUUAUCUGUUGGAAAGCUAUAUUUGAUGAUAAGGAAGGAACCAAUGGACCUCCUUUAAAGUUUUAUGACACAUUUGUGAACAAUUAAAUCCCAUAUCUCCAAAUACAAAUAUGUGCACAAAAUUGAAAGAGAGGUAGCCAAAUUGGUCGUCUUGUGAAAGAGAAUCAUAAGAAAUGGAAGGAACUUCUUUCGAGUCCUGGCUUCAUGAGUAACUACAUUGAUAACUUCAUUCAAGACUUGCAUGGGCUUCUAGUUGAAAAGACUAGAUAAUUAGCAGAAUGAAUCUAAUGUUGAAGUUACGAGGUUGACAGAAUUCAGUGAAUUGUGUUGAGAAAUUUUGCUUAAUAUGUAUGAAUCUAUAGACUCAAAACUGUCUAUCUAGUGAUGUAACUUGCAUUAUUCGAAUGUUUUCAUGCCAUGUUUAGGAGUUAUACACCUUCAUCUCAAAUUUGGAGUUUUUUUUUUAAGAUAACAUUUUUACCUCUAAAUGCACUUUCUGAACACUCAAAGGAGUCUAGGAAAAAGGACCAUAAAUAUUAUGUCUAAAUUUUAUUAUUAGCAUAGAAGAGUUUAAUCCAUUAGGUGCAUUACAAGAUUUUAAUCCCAUCUUCAGCCCCUCUUCCAAAAGACAUGUAAAACCAGAACAGGGGAAGAUUUUGUUCACAAACAUCUAAAGUUGGUAAAGUUAAGAAAAUAUUAUUUUCAGUAAAAUAAAAUAAAAUAGAGAGAAGAUAUAUAGAUGAAGUUGAGGACUAUUUAUAAAGGAUCAUAAUUUAUCCAUCUUUUGAACAUAACAAAACAUUCUUCAGGUUUGUCUGUACAAGCUGUGUGUCCUGAUCCCUAUUAAACAAAAAUAAAAAUAAAUGCAAAGUUAAAUACAAAUAUAAAAUAAAAAUAAAGCUCUUUAAAUAUAACUCAAUCUGGCUAAAUUGACACAAUAAUUACUUCUCAAUUUUCAUGUAAUUAACUUAUUUCUAAAAUUAAUUUCAUACCUUCACUGUUGCGUAAGUCAUUUUGUUGGAGUAAGAUCUCGUAUAACUACAAUGAUACGAUAUUAGAAAAAUGAUUUAAGUAUUAUCAACUAACAUACUAAUUAGUUUUAAUUAAAAAAUCAUAAUUGUAAUUAAGGAUGUAAAAUUUGGAGAUUAAUUACCCAGCAACUUGAUUGUUUACGUUCCAUUGACGCCAAUCAUCAUCAAUAGAGUAGUUUAGAGACUUUAUCCAUGUUUGUGUGUCUUGAAAAGGUACCAUAUAAUCAUGAUCUCCACUGUUAAAUUAAACAUAAAAAGAAAAAACUUCCAUUAUAUAUAUAUUCAUGAAAUAAGUUGUUAUCUGUUGGAAAGCUAUAUUUGAUGAUAAGGAAGGAACCAAUGGACCUCCUUUAAAGUUUUAUGACACAUUUGUGAACAAUUAAAUCCCAUAUCUCCAAAUACAAAUAUGUGCACAAAAUUGAAAGAGAGGUAGCCAAAUUGGUCGUCUUGUGAAAGAGAAUCAUAAGAAAUGGAAGGAACUUCUUUCGAGUCCUGGCUUCAUGAGUAACUACAUUGAUAACUUCAUUCAAGACUUGCAUGGGCUUCUAGUUGAAAAGACUAGAUAAUUAGCAGAAUGAAUCUAAUGUUGAAGUUACGAGGUUGACAGAAUUCAGUGAAUUGUGUUGAGAAAUUUUGCUUAAUAUGUAUGAAUCUAUAGACUCAAAACUGUCUAUCUAGUGAUGUAACUUGCAUUAUUCGAAUGUUUUCAUGCCAUGUUUAGGAGUUAUACACCUUCAUCUCAAAUUUGGAGUUUUUUUUUUAAGAUAACAUUUUUACCUCUAAAUGCACUUUCUGAACACUCAAAGGAGUCUAGGAAAAAGGACCAUAAAUAUUAUGUCUAAAUUUUAUUAUUAGCAUAGAAGAGUUUAAUCCAUUAGGUGCAUUACAAGAUUUUAAUCCCAUCUUCAGCCCCUCUUCCAAAAGACAUGUAAAACCAGAACAGGGGAAGAUUUUGUUCACAAACAUCUAAAGUUGGUAAAGUUAAGAAAAUAUUAUUUUCAGUAAAAUAAAAUAAAAUAGAGAGAAGAUAUAUAGAUGAAGUUGAGGACUAUUUAUAAAGGAUCAUAAUUUAUCCAUCUUUUGAACAUAACAAAACAUUCUUCAGGUUUGUCUGUACAAGCUGUGUGUCCUGAUCCCUAUUAAACAAAAAUAAAAAUAAAUGCAAAGUUAAAUACAAAUAUAAAAUAAAAAUAAAGCUCUUUAAAUAUAACUCAAUCUGGCUAAAUUGACACAAUAAUUACUUCUCAAUUUUCAUGUAAUUAACUUAUUUCUAAAAUUAAUUUCAUACCUUCACUGUUGCGUAAGUCAUUUUGUUGGAGUAAGAUCUCAUAUAACUACAAUGAUACGAUAUUAGAAAAAUGAUUUAAGUAUUAUCAACUAACAUACUAAUUAGUUUUAAUUAAAAAAUCAUAAUUGUAAUUAAGGAUGUAAAAUUUGGAGAUUAAUUACCCAGCAACUUGAUUGUUUACGUUCCAUUGACGCCAAUCAUCAUCAAUAGAGUAGUUUAGAGACUUUAUCCAUCGUUUGUGUGUCUUGAAAAGGUACCAUAUAAUCAUGAUCUCCACUGUUAAAUUAAACAUAAAAAAAAACUUUCAUUAUAUAUAUUCAUGAAAUAAGUUGUUUCACUAUAAACUAAUAUGCCAAUUAUCUUUAAAUAUUAAAAACUGAAGAGUAAUUGGGAACCUGGAUUUAAAAGAUCAUUAAUAAUAUAAUAGUUUGUGUUUGGUACGAAUAAGUCCUUUGGCCUUUUGGCAUUAUCAUUGAAAAUAUUUAAUAACAUUCUUUUCAGUUUAAUUUAUUGAUGGGUUUGAUUUUUUAUACACUUCCAAAUUCGGAUAUCAUGUGAGUUAGAAUUAUAAUUAUUAGUUGACAAUAACUAUAAUCUCAAGUCAAAUAUAUAAAGUUAAAACAGACACAAACGUAACAAUGAAUAUUAAUUACUUGUAUAUAAGUGAUCGAUAGCCUUUAGUGCUUAGAUUUGCAUGAUAUGGUACAACAUUAUGUACCGUCAAAGUGUAGUUGUGAUGAGGGCCUUCACUUAUAUCUCUUCUACAUUUUAUCCAGCUUUCUAUAAUUCCCUGCAAAGAGUAAAAUCACAAGUAAAAUUAUCAUUUUAUUUUUAAAAAAAAUCUAAUUAGACAAACACUCUUAUAUUUGUCUUUAUUUUUUAUUGUAAGUAUGUAAUUAGGACGUAAUUCCACCAAAUACAUGUAUUUGAAUAACUAUAUUAUCGUCUUAAUAUUUUUAAGUGUGUAAUUACGGCGUAAUUACACCGGAUACUUAUAACUGGAUGACUAUAUCUUCGUUUGCAUUUUUUUCUAAGUAUGUUAUUUAUGCAUAGAUAUCCUGGAUACAUCACAAAAUUGAUACCAGAUAGGUGUAUUUUUGCACAAAUAUACUAGUAUCAUCACAGAUACAGUGAAAACAUCAAUGCAUUUUUAUACUAAAUAUACUAGAUAAAUUUGAUAUACCCAGAUACAUUGAAUAUAUCAGUGCAUAUUAAAUACUGAAUAUAUGAAUACAUGAAAGUGUGAAAUAUAAAUACAUUAUGAAACAUAAAUACAAAAAACUAGAGGGAUGAGAGAGGCGGACGAUAGAGGAGUGAGAUAAGAUACAUUCAUUAGAUACAAUGUAUCUAGAGACAACUCGAACAAGAUUCAUAAUUAUUGAAUGCAUUGAUGAGUAAUUAGCACAUGUACUAGUGUACUUUAUGAAAGUUUAUUUUUUAUUUAUUGAUUCUUACGAGGUGUAUCAAGUCAAUAUUAUAAAUAAUAUAUAUAUAUAAUCCACAUACCUUCCGAACAUGAAGAGCUUCUUGGACUUCAGGGUCAUUAGCCCAAUACCUCAUAUGCUUACGCCAAUCAGACUGAAGUAAUUGAGAAUAAGUUUUUACGGUUAAUAGUAUCUUAUUUAUUCAUUUAAGUUAAAAACACAGACAACAAAUAUAAUAAUUUGUAUAUAUAGCCUAGGCCAUUAUCGAUCAUUUUCUUCACUUCUAUUUGUCUUAUUCUUUUUUUUUCAAAAUUUUUAGGAUAUAAUUUCUCAGAUGGAUGAGGGUAGUUUUUUUUUUUAAUGUCAUUCAAUUUUUUUUUAACCAAAAGUCAAUCAACUAAUUAUAGUAUAAAACAAAGAUGACCAACUUUCUAAAAGAACUCUCCGAAGUUAAGUGAUCAUCUAAGAUUUUUUUUUAGUGAUCAUCUAAGAUAUUAUCAUUUUUUUCUCCAUUAACUACAACAAUAGAAUAGACUCCUAUGCUGAGAGUAUAUGGGUAUAGAGUCUAGCUAACCACCUCAACUUCCAUUCUGACAUGCUAUAAAUAUUAAAGUUUCUUGAUGCCGAAAAUAUGAGAAAUAAAAAAACAAAAAAAACUUACAUCACACUUAUCUUCACGUUGCAAGGAGAUGAGUUUAUCAUCAAGUAAUCUUCUUUCACCAGUCAUUUGAUAUAUGUCUUUAGGAUCAUCAUCAUUUGUGCAAAAGGGCUUUAAUACGUGUUCCACAUUAAUGUUUCUUAUCAUCUGCAUAAUUAUAUUUUAAUUUAAUCACAUAAAAAUAAUUAAUAAUAUAUUAUCACAUGUUAAAGUACAUCGAUCGAUAGUACUGUAAAACAAUAUUUAUAACCUGUUUGAAAUUUCGAAAGUCAUUUGCACAUCCUGUAUUGUUGGGAUGUAUGCUUGUGUAUUCUCCUCUACAAUUCUUCUCUAAUGACUGUUAAGACAAAUUAAUAUUCAAAUUAACUUGAUAUGUCAAAUUCUAAAGCUAAUUAUAUACAUUUUUGAAUAAUGUGGAAAGUAAUUAAAAUAAAUUAAUUGUGACUUAAACCUUAUAAAGUUCAUCAGAUAUAAGUCCCAUGCCAUGGCAAAAAACUAUAUGGUAAUUUUCAUCUUGAGGAUAAAUUGUUACACCAUUGCCAAUUAAAUAUCCCUGAAAUUAACCAUGCAUGAAAUAAAUAAAUAAAUAUAUAUAUAUAUAUAUAUAUAUAUACACACACAUAUAUAUAUUAAAUAGAAAGAUUAUUUGAUGAUGGUAAUUAGUUAUUAGAUAACAAAUUAGAGAAAUAUGGACCUGAAGAUUAACUAAUGGCUCUUUGCCUGCUAUAUUUCCUGCAUUGCAAAAUCAAAGAUUAAUUUCUUUAAGGGUGAUGACAUUUAAUAUAUGUAUAAAAGUAAUUUUUGAUUGAUAUAUACAACACAAUUUUCUAUUUACGAAAUAUAAUAUUUUGACAAAUUAAGAAUAUUCAACUGAUCAUAUUACUUUUUUAAAAGUGCAUUGAUAUUAAAAGUGCAUUGAUAUUUGUCCUUUUACGUACUUUGACUCUUAAAAACAUUUUAAAAAAGAUUAGUCAAACAUUAUCUCCUUAUCAAAAGCACAUUUCAAAUGAAUUAGCCAAUGCAUAUUACUUUUUUCAAAAUUACUUUUCUAAAAAUUCAUUUUAACUAAAGUACUUCUAAAAAUAAGUAAUUUUUGAAAGUAAUGUCAAACAAGCUCUAUGUGUCUCCAUCAUGAUAUUGAUCUAUUUUGUGUGUAUAUUACUUUGCAUAAAUUCUGCAAUUACACUAAGAAUUUGUUUUACUAAAAAUGCACAUAACCCAAUAUGUGUUGAGUACCUGUAUUUGGAAUAUCUACUCAAUAGUUUUAUCGAUCGUAUAGAUAAAUCUUACCAUUUGAUAUCAACUGAGUUAUAAUUGGAAUAUCCAUGCCAGCAUAUGAAUUUCCAGAAACAUAAAAUGGAUUUGAGAUGAAUUGUGGAUGAUCACUGAGCCACUGAAAUAAAAAAAAAAAACUAGAUGAUUAAGUUAACAUUAUUCCAAUUUGUUUUAUAAUAACAAAUUUCAAAAUUUACGUACGUACCUUUCUUAAGAAUUCAUCUACAUAUUCACAUGCUUGCACAUCAGUAUACUUAUAUGCAGCUGAAUUUGUUGCAUAUGAGAAUCCAGUGUUUACUGGUUGAUCCAAAAAUAUUACAUUUGCUAUCUGAAAAUCGAUAAUUGAACGAUAUAUAUGCGUAACGUUUCCUUAAUUAUAUACUCGUAUAUUAUUACUAUAAUAUUUUUUUUGCCAAAACAAUAUUAUUGGAUAAUGUAAUAUGUAUAAAUAAUAAUACAUGUAGCUAACCUUUGUCCAUGCAUGUGGGUUUAGUACAAACGAAGGCAUACUCCCAUUGUAGACUUGUUCCACAAAACGGACUGGUCCUGAACAAGAAAAUUUCUUAUUUUUAGCUUGGAUUAUUAUUAUUUUAAUUUUAUUUUUAAAAAAGUGUUUGUUUGAAAAGGAAAAAGAAUUAUGUUAUGUUUGGAAAAUAUUUGUAAAUAAAACAUAUCGACAAAUGUUUUCUAACAAAAAUUACUUUUGUAAUUUAAACACAAUUAAUUCUCCCUCUACUUGUCCAUUAUUUCAAAAUUAUUGUUAAUUGUCAUUUUUAACAUGUCAGUUAUUAAUUUUUCAUGUUUUACCCUUAGCUUUAUUUAGUUAUUUCCCAAAUCAUUUUCCAAGACUCAACAAUAUUAAACAUCAAUUGAUAGAUAUAGUGAUCGAGGUCAAAUAGUUAUGCCAAAUCUGAAUAGUGAAAACUAUCUUAUUACAUAUCUUACCACUAAUUAUGAGUUUCCUAACAUUUAUUGAGGAUGAUACACCUAGAUACAUGCAUUUUUGCUAUCAGAUAUUCUAAAAUAGGGAGAGAGAGACGGGCGUUAUGAGGAUAGAGGCGCACGAGAUAAUCAUGUAUCUCAGAUACAUAGAAGAAUGACGAGAGAGAUGGAAGGGAGGAGAGCGAGCAAAAUUUGUUAUAUAUCUCAGAAACAUGUGAAUUCACUUGGACACAAUAUAUCUAAAAUUAAAAUUGCAUCUAAUUAAGACAUCACGUAUCCUGAGAUACAUGUAUAGUUAGAUUAAUAAUAUUGUAAACUAAAGCGUUUCUUAGUAAUUAACUCUUAAACUCGUAUAUAUAUAUAUAUAUAUUACAUCUAAAUGUGACAAAUAAAAGAGAAUGGAGGAAUAUACAUUUUAAAAUUUUAAACUGUAGAAUUUUAAAAAAAAUUGUAGUUUCUAAAGUUUGUGCAAUAUCAAAAUCAAAUGACCAAAUUUUAAAAUAAAAUAAAGUACCUAUCUCAUCAACAAUGGCAAUGACAGAAGAGCAACCUGGUCCACCAGAUAGCCAAACCAAAAGAGGAUCAGCAGUAGGCUCUGAUUCUGACUCCAAAAAAUAGUAGAAAAGUUGCACCUCCUCAUCUUUACCAAUUCCAACAUACCUAUUUUUAAUUAUAAAGUAUUAUUACACUAGUGUCAUAUAAAAUAAUUAAAAUAUUUUAGCUACUUCGUCUAUCUAUUUUUAGAGAUUUUAAAUCCUCUUAUUGAAAAUCUUGACCACGCCAGUGACCACAACCAUUACCUUCACCACCAUUAUUAGACACCUUUUAAUCACCCCCCACAAUCACAACUAGCAUCAGACAUUUUUGAGUAAUCACUAACAUUAACAAACUUCAUCAUUACAAUCAACACAGUCACAAUCAUUUGCCAUUAUCAUAUUAGUCACUACAAUACUAACCUCUUCCACUAUCACAAUCACCCUUAUCACUGUCAUCUCUACAAAUCAUCUUACCAUAAUAACUAUAUUUGACAUAGUCAUUUUAAAAUUUAAAACCUAUAAAAUUUAUUUUCAAACUUCACCUUUAAUAUUACCAAGAAACUACAAUUUUAGGAUAAAUAUCCUCUCGUUCUCAAAUAAAUAAAUACAAACAAGCUCACCCGGUCUCUAGAGGGAACGGGAGGCGGCCCUGCCAACCGGGAAGAUACUCAAUUGGUGAAAAAAUUUGGCUCUAAAAUAAACUCAAAAAUUUAAAUAGUCAUUCAAAUGCAUUUUAAUUUUUGAAAUCUAGCAUAUUCAUCAUUUAUUGAAAAGUUGACUUAAGAAAACAUUAAAUAACAAUAAAAGGGUAAAGUUACUUAAUUUCUUAAUGCAAAUGCAAUCUAAAAAGAUGACAUAUAAAAAGAAACGGAGGGAGUAUAUACCUUUUCUUUUGGUCCGUAAGUUUUCUUUCUUCACUUUUUUUGUUUUGAAUUCAAAUUGUGUAAAUAUCUCAAAAUGUAUAUUUUAUCAUCUAAAAAUAAGAAGAAAUUGUAACUUAUCGUAUAAUUUUGAAUAUCUAUAUGUUAAUUUGGAAACAUUCAUUAAUUAAUUUAAUUCAAAUCUAACUUUAAAGAUUGAUCAAAUUUAACUUUUAAAAAGACAAAAACUAUAUCAUAAAUUAAAAUAUUACAUAAAAUUUAAUUUAUUUUUUACUUUUUUAAAGUUAAUACAAAAUUUAAAUAAAAUAAUCAAAUAAUAUAAAAUGAAGAGAGUACUAGAUUGUUUUAUUUGUUGCACAUAUUUUUCUCUACGUGGAUAAAAUAUAACCACACUACUUUAGUUUAAUAUUUUAGGUAUCCUCGGGUCCCGCAGGAGUAAUUAGUAAUUUUGCUGAAUUAAUGGGUCAUGCAAGCUGGUAAGAAACACCUCCCUUCAACUAAUAAGAACUCUCUUUUUGAUAAAUUUUAUGCACUCUAUAUUUUUUUGUUGUAUUGUGUGUUACAAAUCAAAUGAAGACCACCACUAUUUGUACUAGAAGAAGUCUUCCUAGCAAUGAAUAGGAAGAUAAUGGUGUAGUAAAUAGUGAAGAUAAUGGUCUUAGGAGUUACAUAGGUUACAAGAAUAAUGGAGGAGUAAAAAAUGAAAUAAAGUUGAGGGCAACAAAUGCACUAACGUGCAGAUGCCAACGUUCCAUUGCCAACGUUCAGAAAGCAAUAUGCCUUAUGCCUCUGGUCAUUAAUUGACCAUGAAGGCAAUAUGCAAUAUGCCUUAGGCACAAAUGGCAUACAUUUCAGCAAAGACUUAGUGUGGCAGUGGCAAUGUGAAUAUGUAACAAUUUGUAUAAUAUUAAAAUGGUCACAUCAACAAUCUUGUUGGGUAAUUUGUUGAGUUUUAUUUGCCCUGAAUUUCUUACCAUAAAUAGGUUUUCCUUUAGGAAAAAGUUUUGGAUUGGCAAGUCCUUUUCUUGUAGGAAAAGGUUUAGGACUCUAUAAAUAGAGGUUUGUUCCUUCUAACUUAAUCAACAUUCACAAUGUAAUCUUAAGGGCUUUGAGAGUUUUGGUUAGGGGGAGAAUUUGUGGGUCACAAGCUUGAUACGUUAUCACUUGUGUGAACCUCCCAUGUAUUUCGAGUGAAUUGGUUGAGGUUAUUUCUCUCUAUAUUUUGUACUCUCAUGUUUAUAUAGUGGAUUGCUCAUCUCCUUUGUGGACGUAGGUCGAUUGACCGAACCACAUUAAAUCUUUGUGUCUUUGUAUAUUUCUUGUUUGUCUUCUUACUCAUGGUCUUUCGAGGUUUGCUUUGCUAGCUUCCGCGUUACACCUGCUUAUUUCGGUCCUAACAAGUGGUAUCAGAGCCCAGGUUUGGGUGUGUCGGAGUAGUGGACUGCGUUUAGUGAGAAGUUCCCGAUGUGACAACAAGACUAGAGAUCUGCAGGGGUGCCUUGUGUCGAAAGUCUUCCUGGCAAAGUGGUGGUCCAGGUGGCGUGUCCCGUUAUGUGAUAUUGGCGGUGCAAGAUGAUUUGGCAGAUCAGAUGGUGUGACCUAGCGAUUGGAGAUCUGCGGUUGAUGCCUUGUGUCGAAAGUCUUCUUGACAAAGUGGUGGUCGAGCGGUGUGUCCCACUGGUCAGUAGUGGCGGUGCAAGAUGGUUAGCACAGAUCAAAUGUAUCAUCGUUGAAGGGGAGGUUACAAAGUGUGUGGUCUUGGUUUGAGGGGAGGAUUGUUGGGUAACAACCUAUCCCACAUCGGAUGGAGAAGAAGAAAUGUACCAAUAUAUAAGUGCUCACCCAACUCCAUUAAUAUGAGGCCUUUUGGGAUGUGCCCAAAAACAAAUCUGUGAGGGCUUGACCCAAAGCGGACAAUAUCAUACUAAUGUGGAGUUAGGGUGGUGGUACGCGCGAUCCCAACAUGUGGUAUUAGAGCCAGAUUCAAUGAUGGAGUCAGGUUUAGUGGUUCAAAAAUCGAUGAUUGAACUAGGUUAAAAAGAUGGGUGUUCAUCUUAGCGGGCGUAGUUCUAGCCGCAACCUUUUUUACAGUAAUAAAGAUUUUUGUUGGAGAAAUUGUUUCAGAGAAGUUCUCUGUGUUGAUACAUAGAUUUGAUGGAGGAGAUUAUGGAGAGGAGAAAUAAGCUGUUGAAGAUUAUGUGAAGAAGGUGGACAAAUUUAUUUUGUCAGAAAUUCAAGCCAAGGGGGAGAUUUGUUGAGUUUUAUUUGCCCUGAAUUUCUUACCAUAAAUAGGUUUUCCUUUAGGAAAAAGUUUUGGAUUGACAAGUCCUUUUCUUGUAGGAAAAGGUUUAGGACUCUAUAAAUAGAGGUUUGUUCCUUCUAACUUAAUCAACAUUCACAAUGUAAUCUUAAGGGCUUUGAGAGUUUUGGUUAGGGGGAGAAUUUGUGGGUCACAAGCUUGAUACGUUAUCACUUGUGUGAACCUCCCAUGUAUUCCGAGUGAAUUGGUUGAGGUUAUUUCUCUCUAUAUUUUGUACUCUCAUGUUUAUAUAGUGGAUUGCUCAUCUCCUUUGUGGACGUAGGUCGAUUGACCGAACCACAUUAAAAUCUUUGUGUCUUUGUAUAUUUCUUGUUUGUCUUCUUACUCAUGGUCUUUCGAGGUUUGCUUUGCUAGCUUCCGCGUUACAUCUGCUUAUUUCGGUCCUAACACAAUCCCCCACUCAUUUAAAUAUUAGACAAGAGAGUAUAUCAUCUGAAGGAGAUUACCAUGCAUAAUAAAGGUGUGCUUUGCAUUGAACCUUUACUUAGUGAAACAAUAAUUUUUACUCCAGAGUCGUAGUGGUCUCAGACUUGAACUAUGACUGCUUAAGGGAAAUAAAAUAUCACUGCUCACACAUAAUAAUCAAGGUGUUGACAUGAGCUUUAAAGCCAACACGUUAUGGUCAUGUGCUAUCCCGGUUUCAUGAGUGUUUUUUAGAAUAAGCCCAAUUCUCAUAGGAAGCGACCUACUUCCACACAUCACAUAUGUGAAAUCUGUCGAGAUUGCUCCUGUAAGUUUAACACUCCACCCAUACGGGCUACAUAUAUUCAUUAAGAGUUUUAUCAACUCAACCUUCACAAACUAUAGGAAACAAUGCACUCACAUCAUAUGAAGGGAAAUAAAAAGAUAGUGCAUUUUUCACAACAAGUCAUCAUAUGAUUAGUUUUUCCCUUUGAACCUGGUUAUAGGAUCUCUAGUCCCCAGGUUGGGUUUCCUCAUAUAUGACUCAAGGAUUUGUAGGCUUCAAUCCCAUCCCCUUCGAUGUGCUCCAUACCUUUUCUCUUGUUAAGGCCUUAGUAAGAGGAUCUACAAGAUUAUCACAAGAUUUGACAUAAUCAACAUUAAUGGUACCAUUUGUCAAAUAUGAUCUUACAUUACUGUGUUUUCUCCUUAUAGGUCUGGAUUUACCAUUGUAAUAUCGAUUUUGAACUCUACCAAUUGCAGCGGUGCUAUCACAAUGAAUUAAAAUAGGAGGCAUUGGUUUUCAAAAUAAGGAAUUUGAUACAAUAAAUCUCUUAACCAAUUCGCUUCCUCACUAGCUGAAGCUAAAAGCAAUUAAUUCAGCCUCCAUGGUAGAGUUAACAAUUAUAGUUUGCUUUUUUAAUCUCCAACAAACAGCACCACCACCUAAAGUAAAGACAUAACCAGUGAUAGAACAUGAAUCACCUGAUAACGUGUUCCAAUCUGCAUCACAAAAGCCUUCAAGUACAGCAGGAUAUUUUUUAUAGAACAAACCACAAUUUUUCGUUCCAAUUAAAUAUCUCAUAACUCUUGUUACAGCAUGACAAUGUUCAUUACUUGGCUUGCUUGUAAACCUGCUAAGUACUCCUACUGCAUAUGCAAUAUCAGGCCUUGUGCAAUCAGUCACAUAUCUCAAACUUCCGAUUAUGCUACCAUAUUCCUUUUGAUUUAUUACAUCAUUUUCAUUUUCAACAGGAAAUAAGUGAACACUUGAAUCAAAAGGAGUAGCAACAUGCUUGCAAUCAAGAAAGUUAUAUUUUUUUAAGAUUUUCUCAACAUAAUCUGACUGGUCAAGGUUCCAUCACAUGUUCUUGUUAUUUUUAUUCCAAGAAUAAUAUUUGCCUCACCAAGAUCUUUCAUAUCAAAAUGGCUUCUAAGAUAUUUUUAGCAUCAUCAAUAACAUUCAUGUUAAAGCCAAAGAUCAACAAAUCAUCAACAUAUAGGCAAAUAAUCACAUGUGAAUUAUUCCAAGACUUAUGAUAUAUGCACUUAUCACACUCAUUGUUUAAACCAUUUUCAAUCAUGCAAGAAUCAAACUUUUUCAUGUCAUUGCUUAGGUGCCUGUUUCAAGCCAUAUAGGGAUUUAGUAAGUUUACAUACUUUGUUUUCUUGGCCUGCUUCAACAAAAGACUCGGGUUGAUCCAUAUAAAUUUCCUCAUUUAGGUCUCCAUUUAAAAAAGCAGUUUUUACAUCCAUUUGAUGAAUUUGCAAAUAAAAAAUUGCAGUCAUAGCAAUUAAAAGUUUUAUGGAUGUAAUUCUUGUUACCGGUGAAAAAGUAUCAAAAAAUUCUAGGCCUUCCAGUUGUUUAAGACCUUUUGCAACUAGCCUAGCCUUGUAUUUAUCAAUACCCAAUUUUGGCAUAACAUUUUCAAAAAUUCGCAAAUUUUAAGUUUUAUUUAUUUUAUAGCUCAAAAUAAAUUUUUUAUAAUUUUAAAUAAGUUUAUCGAUAACUAUCCUUAUUUAUCAAAANNNNNNNNNNNNNNNNNNNNNNNNNNNNNNNNNNNNNNNNNNNNNNNNNNNNNNNNNNNNNNNNNNNNNNNNNNNNNNNNNNNNNNNNNNNNNNNNNNNNNNNNNNNNNNNNNNNNNNNNNNNNNNNNNNNNNNNNNNNNNNNNNNNNNNNNNNNNNNNNNNNNNNNNNNNNNNNNNNNNNNNNNNNNNNNNNNNNNNNNNNNNNNNNNNNNNNNNNNNNNNNNNNNNNNNNNNNNNNNNNNNNNNNNNNNNNNNNNNNNNNNNNNNNNNNNNNNNNNNNNNNNNNNNNNNNNNNNNNNNNNNNNNNNNNNNNNNNNNNNNNNNNNNNNNNNNNNNNNNNNNNNNNNNNNNNNNNNNNNNNNNNNNNNNNNNNNNNNNNNNNNNNNNNNNNNNNNNNNNNNNNNNNNNNNNNNNNNNNNNNNNNNNNNNNNNNNNNNNNNNNNNNNNNNNNNNNNNNNNNNNNNNNNNNNNNNNNNNNNNNNNNNNNNNNNNNNNNNNNNNNNNNNNNNNNNNNNNNNNNNNNNNNNNNNNNNNNNNNNNNNNNNNNNNNNNNNNNNNNNNNNNNNNNNNNNNNNNNNNNNNNNNNNNNNNNNNNNNNNNNNNNNNNNNNNNNNNNNNNNNNNNNNNNNNNNNNNNNNNNNNNNNNNNNNNNNNNNNNNNNNNNNNNNNNNNNNNNNNNNNNNNNNNNNNNNNNNNNNNNNNNNNNNNNNNNNNNNNNNNNNNNNNNNNNNNNNNNNNNNNNNNNNNNNNNNNNNNNNNNNNNNNNNNNNNNNNNNNNNNNNNNNNNNNNNNNNNNNNNNNNNNNNNNNNNNNNNNNNNNNNNNNNNNNNNNNNNNNNNNNNNNNNNNNNNNNNNNNNNNNNNNNNNNNNNNNNNNNNNNNNNNNNNNNNNNNNNNNNNNNNNNNNNNNNNNNNNNNNNNNNNNNNNNNNNNNNNNNNNNNNNNNNNNNNNNNNNNNNNNNNNNNNNNNNNNNNNNNNNNNNNNNNNNNNNNNNNNNNNNNNNNNNNNNNNNNNNNNNNNNNNNNNNNNNNNNNNNNNNNNNNNNNNNNNNNNNNNNNNNNNNNNNNNNNNNNNNNNNNNNNNNNNNNNNNNNNNNNNNNNNNNNNNNNNNNNNNNNNNNNNNNNNNNNNNNNNNNNNNNNNNNNNNNNNNNNNNNNNNNNNNNNNNNNNNNNNNNNNNNNNNNNNNNNNNNNNNNNNNNNNNNNNNNNNNNNNNNNNNNNNNNNNNNNNNNNNNNNNNNNNNNNNNNNNNNNNNNNNNNNNNNNNNNNNNNNNNNNNNNNNNNNNNNNNNNNNNNNNNNNNNNNNNNNNNNNNNNNNNNNNNNNNNNNNNNNNNNNNNNNNNNNNNNNNNUUUACUAUUAUUUUUCUUAAAUUUUUUCUUCUUAGGCUUCAAAGAAGUAUUUUUGUGAGUUUCAAGACUAGCAUUACUUGAAGUGAUUAAAUUUACCUUCGCCGUGAUGUUGCUAUCUUCUUUUUGUAAAAGUGCAUCUUGGUCCUUUGCCUCUUCACCAUCGUACUUUUCCACUUUUUCAUGAUGAGAAAUAAUUUCACCAUCAUCCAUGGAGGUGUCAUUAACUUUAUUAGGAUUCUUCUCAGUUAACACAUAAGAGAAACAUUGAGAAGACUUAAGUAGAAAAGUACUUUACCCUUUUCAUCUUUUGAAAUGGUUACCAUUGAAUCGAAAUGGCUUGUUAAGGUCUCCCAUCUUGACAUCCGCAAUUUUUUCAAUUGUAGUCAUUCUGAAUACUCCUUAAAAUUGUUAGUGAAAACUUACAGGAUAACAAAAUACAAGAUUACAAUUGAAAAUAAAUAUGAAGAAAAUAAAUCUCUUCAGGCUGAGGAGCGGAUAUCUCGCGCUCUUUAAGGAGAUUCAAGCCCACUGCAGCAAAUGUUUUCAAGAAAUACCUCCCUUUAACUAAUAAGAACUCUCUUUCAAAUACGCUAUCAUGCAUUAUAUAGUGUGCUUUCCAAUUUCAUUCUGCUCUCUAAAGAUGUGGUAUCUAUCUCCCUCCAGGUUACCCUUCUACUACUGUGGUGUUGCGUGAAAGUGAAGCUAAGCUGUUAUCAUUUUUAUAUCAUGAAUAUGGCAAGGGGGUGACAUUUCAAGAACGAAUGAAGGGAUUUUCACUAUGUGAUGCAAUAGCUGUGAAAACAUGUAGAGAGAUUGAAGGAAUCUUUUGUGACUACGUAGCAACACUACUUGAAAAGCCAGUCCUUUACAUUGGACCUGUAAUUCCCGAGCCCAAAAAGGAGCAACAUGAAUUAUCAAAUUGGCUCGAGAAAUUCGAACAAGGAUCAGUAGUGUUCUGUGCAUUUGGGAGCCAAAUGAUUCUUGAAAAGAAACAGUUUCAACAACUUGUUUUAGGCUUUGAACUGACUGAGUUACCAUUUCUUUUAGUUGUUAAGCCACCUCAAGGGACAAAUUCAGUAGAAGAAGCCUUGCCAGAGGGAUUCAAACAAAGGGUUCAAGAAAAGGGAUUGAUUCUUGAUUGUUAGGUGCCACAAUUGAAGAUUUUAAGACACAAAUCAGUUGGUUGUUUUGUGACUCACUGUGGUUAUGGGUCGAUGUGGGAGUCUUUGGUGCUGUGUGAUUGUCAAUUGGUACUUUUGCCAAGGCCUAUUGAUCACAUUUUUACUGCUAGGCUUAUGGGACAACACCUUCAGGUUGGUGUAGAAGUGGAGAAGGAUGAAAAUGAUUUGUUUACAAAGGAGAAUUUGUGCAAGGCUGUGAAAUGUGUGAUGGAUAAAGAUAGCCAAAUCGGUUGUUUAGUGAAAGAGAAUCAUAGGAAAUGGAAGGAACUUCUUUCGAGUCCUGGAUUCAUGAGUAACUACAUUGAUCACUUCAUUCAAGACUUGCAUGGACUUCUAGUUGAAAAGACCUAGAUGAAGUUACGAGAAGUGGAUCGACUGUUGAAGUUACGGGGUUGGCAGAAUCUAGUGUAUUCAUGUUAAGAAAUUUACUUUAUAUGUAUGAAUAAUCUACCCCUAACCAAUUGUUGUCCUGUUUUGAAAUUCAGAACCCAUAAACUUAAAAUGUAUCUAAUGAUGUUACUUGCAUUUAUUAGAUGUUUUAUGUGGUGUUUAGGAGUCCUACACAUUUCCUUCAAAUUUAGAACCCUUUUUUGUUAACAUUUAUAGACUUCUGAACACUCAAAUUACUUCUAUCGUAUGAAAAAUGGCUCAUAAAUAUUUUUUAUUCAUCUUUUGAGCUAAAUAUAUCUUAUUUAUCGUAUGAAAAAUGGCUCAUAAAUAUAUGUUUUAUGUGCUACUGCCUAUGCUAGAGCUUAGAGGUUAGAUAAAAGUUAUUGAUUGUUGGCUCUUGGCUGCUGCCUGCUACUACAUUCAAUUCGAACAUUUUGCUAAUUUUGUUCUCAUUUAAAUGCAUUUGCACUGAAAUAAUCAUAUAAGAAACAUCCAACUGAAUUAGUUUGAUUUGGUGUUUGGUGUACAUCUUUUCAAAAUCAAUAAAAAAAAAAGAAUGAAAUGCCCACCCUUAUUUUGUUGAAUGAGUCCUUUAAACGCAAGCUGAUUAGAUGUGUGGAAUAGAGGAAUCGUACGUAUCUAUUAGUGCAGCUGGCUACCGUUAAGAGAUUAAACUUUCAGAUAAAACUAAAUGGCUAUCAACUUCUCAUCAAUUAAAUCAGCUCUGAAUAUAGCUAUAUGAGGUCAUUUGGUAUGCAGAAUUAAAAUUAUAUGCUUUGAAUAUAGCUACUAAAUGAGCUCUAAAUGUAGCUAUAUGAGGUCGUUUGGUACGCCAAAUUAAAAUUAUACUAUAUUUUGGUAGAAGUUAUAAAUUUACCUCAACCUCCUGAGAUAAAUUGAAUAAACUGAAACAGAGGUAGCAAUUCAUCAGAGGCAAAGAAGAAGAAAAAAAGAUGUCAAAGCUUGAAAUAGUGAUGUUCCCAUGGUUUGCUUUUGGACACAUGAUUCCAUGUAUGAAUCUAUCAAAUGAACUUGCAAAAAGAGGUCACAAAAUCUCAUUCUUGUUUCCCAAAAAUGCUAAAAUUAGACUUCAAAAACUCAAUCUUUACCCAAAUCUCAUCACAUUUUACAAACUGACAAUACCUCAUGUUGAUGGCCUUCCAUAUGGAGCAGAGACUACAGCUGAUGUUCCUAAAUCAUUGGAGAGUCUAUUAGCAACAACUUUUGAUGAAUUGUAUGAUGAAAUCAAAUCUUUUCUUCAAAAUCUAAAACCCCAUUUCGUUUUCUUUGAUAUUGCUUAUUGGAUUCUUGAUUUAGCACGAGAAAUUGGGGGUAUCAAGACUCUGUUUUGCACUGUUUUUAGCCCUGCUGCCGCAUCUAUACCAUUUGUUAAGUCACCAGAUAAGACGGCAUCAACCGCAGCUGAGCUAGUAAAGCCACCACUAGAUUACCCUUCUACUACUGUGGUGUUGCGCGAAAAUGAAGCUAAGUUGUUAUCAUUUCUAUUUCAUGAAUAUGGAAAGGGGGUGACAUUUUACGAACGAGUGAAGAAGGGAAUGACAGGAUGCGACGCAAUAGGUAUGAGAACAUGUAAAGAGAUUGAAGGAACCUUUUGUGACUACAUAGCAACACAUUCUGAAAAGCCAGUCCUUUACACGGGACCUGUUCUUGCUGAACCGACAAAGGGGCCUUUAGAAGAACAUGGAUUAUCGGAUUGGCUCGAGAAAUUCGAGGCAGGAUCAGUAGUGUUUUGUGCAUUUGGGAGCCAAAUGAUUCUUGAAAAGAAACAGUUUCAACAACUCGUUUUAGGCUUUGAACUGAUUGAGUUACCAUUUCUAUUAGUUGUUAAGCCACCUGAAGGGACAAAUUCAGUAGAAGAAGCCUUACCAGAGGGAUUCAAAGAAAGGGUUCAAGAAAAGGGACUGAUUCUUGAUUGUUGGGUGCCACAAUUGGAGAUUUUAACUCACAAAUCAGUUGGUUGUUUUGUGACUCACUGUGGUUAUGGAUCGAUGUGGGAGUCAUUGGCACUGUGUGAUUGUCAAUUGGUACUUUUGCCAAGACCUUUUGAACACACUUUAAUUGCAAGGCUUAUGGAACAACAACUUAAGGUUGGCGUAGAAGUACUGGAGAAAGAUGAAAACGAUUUGUUUACAAAAGAGAAUUUGUGCAAGGCCUGUGAAAUGUGUGAUGAAUAAAGAUAGCCAAAUUGGUUGUCUUGCGAAAGAAAAUCAUAGGAAAUGGAAGGAACUUCUUUCAAAUACUGGCUUCACGAGUAAUUAUAUUGACAACUUUGUUGACAGUUUGCAUGCACUUCUCGUUGAAAACACCUUUCACCUAGAUUAGCGGCAAAAAUGAGUAGGUGUGAAUAAUUCAUGCCCAAUCAAUCGUUAUCCUGUUUUUUAAAUUCAGAAUUCAUAAAUUUAAAAUAUUAUAUUUGAAUAAAUAUAUUUUACUAAUAUUGUCAUAAAUAUAAUGAUCAUCUAAUAUUGACAUUUUUAUUAAAAGUUUAGUUUGGUCUUUGAUUACAUCGGAAUUUUAAGUUUCAUUGUAUCUUGGAUAUUUUAUCAGAAUUUUAAGUUUCAUUGUAUCUUGGAUAUUUUAAUGUAGUAUUAUGAGUUAUACACCUUCCUUCAUUUUUUACUACCUCAAGAAAAAUACCAUCGAGAAUUACUGAUACGUUUGUUAUAUCUUAUAACAUGUAUUGUGUUAGUAAUGCUCCAACCUAGUAUGAUUAAGAUAAAAACUCUUAUGAUUAUUUUCUGAACCAUCUAAAUUACUAUUGUUGACACCCAAUUUCAGACCUCCACAAUAUAUAUUAAUUAUCGAGUUUCUUAAAUUUCGAACGACUUGAAAUAAUUAGUUUUAGAACAUUCAAAAAUUUCAAGUUAUUUUAGUCGCUUUUAUAAUUUUUAAGUAAUAUAUAUGUUUUGUAUAAUUUUGUAUAUAAUUAGUAUAUAUUUUAUAAAUAUUGCGAAAAUCAUCUCAAAAAGAUUCUAAUUUUAGUAAGUAUUUUAUUAAAUUAGUUUAGUUUAACUUAUGGUUUUAAUUUUGAGUCAGUUAAGUUUAAAUGAGUUUGUUAUUUCAUUUCGUUGAGAUUAAGAAGCUCGUCAAUUAAUUUAUAUUAAUUCGUCUCGUUUAAAGUUUUGACCAAAUUCUUCGAUUGAAUUUGAUUUGGUUACGAUUGAAAGUUACAUGGACAAUUAUUCUUUAUCAAUUUAUCUCAACCAAUUAAAGGGCCAAUUUUGGGCCUUCUAUGUUGCAUGACCAACAGCCCAUCUCAUCUUUUCCCAAUUCCCAUUCCAUUAAUUUCCAUUAGUUCCCAGCUAAUUAAUCCAACCGACACAACCCACUAAGAACCCAUUUUUCCACUCCCAAUUGUCAGCCCAAUACAAUAUACAAUACAUACAAUCAUUCCCAGCCCACCGACAUACAACAUACAAUUAUAACAACUUACAACCAACAACACUAAACCGACAAACCCCGACCCACAUUUUAAACCCCCACCCGGCCCUUUCUAAUUCACAAAAGAAAAUUAGAAGAGAUUUCCAGCAGCCCCAACGUUCUAAAACAACUAGCGGACGGCGUCUUCACAAUUUCUGUCAAAUUAGACGGAAAGCGGUAGCGGCAUCAGUGUGCAGAAAGCGUACACUGUGUGCUUUGUCUCCUUCCUCAGAUGUCCCUCUCAGUUUCGUACUAGUAGCAGCAACACACGGCUGUCCCCAUUUCCUCUUCCGGAAUGGGGACGAAAUUUCAGAAAAAGGGUGUUUCCCUUAAUUGGUGAAAGGAAUUGGGAGUUUGAAAUUGGGGUUGGCCUCAAUUUCUAUCCGUUUUUCCCUCCACAUUCCGAACCGGAACUCUGGUCUAUAAUUACCCUCUUUUCCAUUCACUGUAAGGGGGAGAAAAAAUUGGAAAAGGGUAAAAAAUUUUGAGUCAAGAAAAAGGGAAAAGAUUGAAAAAGGGUGGAGUUUUUAUCGAUAUACGGACGUAGAGAGAAAAUGAUAUACGAAAAUAUAGAUAUAUAAGGGAUACAAAAAUAGCAAGGAGGACGAUUUUUUAUCCUUUCUAUUGUUAUUCGCUUUGCUUGUUUAUUGGGAUUUUUUCGAGGUCCAAGCUUGUGGUGGGGGAAGCUCGCAUCUUUGGCUCAUUCGGUCUCCAUUUCGCUGCCAUCGAAAAGGUAAACUUCACUUUGAUCUUAGCUCAUUUUGGUUGAUGUUUGUGUGAGAGUUGAAGGUUUCUAUUGACUCUCCUCCCAUUCAUUCGAAUGCUUCAGUUUUGUUUGAGUUACUGCUAAUGUCUGAUAAAAGAUUUUCGUAUCACCAGUUGGUGUUUUAGUUGAUUGAAGCGUGGAGUAUAUUUAUGUGUGUGAUUUUUGCCCAGAAUGCCGUGAUUAAUGGUUUAGCUCGCCUCUGAUUUUUAUGACCAAAGUUUAUUUCCUGGUUCUUGUUUGGCUGCUGUUAAUGGCGCUUUUCUUCUAAAAAAUGGCGGUGGAAUCUUAAACUAGCUAGUAUGAAAGUUGCUUGUCGUUUUUUUUUUAGCUAUAUUUUGUUGAUGUAGUCACUAUUUUCUCCCCAUUUUGAAUUUUCGAACUGUCUUGCUGUCCAACAUGCUUUGUUUAAAUCGAGUUUAUGUCAUCAUUUUGUUUAAAUUUAAAUUCAAAGUGCUCACCAUUUGUAAUUGAGUUAUGAAAUGCAAGGUUUUGAUUUUUCUUUAAGAUACAACUUGUUGCAAUUCUUGUUUUCUUUCCAAGUCAUUGCAUAUUUCUUUUCUUUCUGAGCAUCUUUGCGGAUUGGCAUACACAUGCUCUUAACCUCUUUCGAUGUCUGGAUCUGUUAAAGAAUCGCAUAAGAAUAUCAGUUUAGUAUGUGUUGCUCACCUUAUUUGGUCGCUAAAUUCGUUAAGAAGAUUGUUAAAUAGCACGUUCAAUAUUCUAAAAAAUAAAUUCAUUAUUGCCUCCCCAUCCACUACAUGGAAUAUGAUCCCUAUGUUCAUUAGUAUAGCUGUUGGUCCAACCUUCUAUUUUUAUUUUAUUUUAUUUUUCUUUCUUAUUUCAUAUAACUGAUCCAAUGAUUACUUAUUUACUAUUUUGGUUUUAACUUGGUUAAGACUUGUAUCAUCGCUCUUGUUGUUAUUUCUUUUGAUGACUCAUUUGCAUGCUUGAAGUAAUAUAAUUAAUGCACCAUUGACCUUAACACUUGGAUAAGUUUGGAGCAGUUGAUUGGUUUUAUUCCAUUUUUUAGACUAUAUACGUCUUCCCUGCUUUGGUUGAUUAAAGUAGUGGCCUCUUUUAUAUUGUUUUAUGUUAUCUCAUUAGUUUAUUAUUAUUUAUUCCAUGUCUCUUUCAUUUGGCUAAUUUGUUUCUCUUUUUCUGUAUCAUGUGAUUUCGUAUGGAGUCUGAGUUGGAUUCAAAUCCUAUACCUUUUCGCACUUCGAAUCGGGCUAUGAGGGCCCAAUUUUCUUUUUUCUUUUGAGUCAGCCAGCCAUAGCAAAUCGAAGAAUAGAUCCCCAAAAAAAUUCGGUGUACAGGUGUUCGGAGCAUAUAUACAAGAUUGUGUACACUAGUAUACAUCUAGUGUAUACAAAAGAAGGGAAAUGGACCCAAAGGUCCGCUCUUAAUUCCAAAUUGUAUUUUGUUAUUUUUGGGCCUAAGCCGACUUAUCUAUUGUCUUGCUAGAAUCUAGGACAGGUGGAAUUGGGUCUAAGGUCCAAAGAAAAAAAACAUAUAUUUCUUUUUAUGUUAGUUUAAGACAGGUACAUGUGAUUCAAAUGGGUCAAAGGCCCAAAACAAAAAAUGGACUCAAAUAUUGGCCCAGGCGGACAGAAAAACCAAACUUGGGCCCAAAUCCCUCUCCCUCUUUGUUUUAUUAUGCUCCCUUACUUGUUAGUAUUUGCCGUAAUUUUAAGGUUGGAAAAUUUAAAUCCCCGAAAGAUGUCUAUUUUCGCUUUAAAAGAAAAUUAACUAAAUUAGCCAUCCCUUAACAAGAUUUAAAGAAAUAAUUUUAUAAGAUAGCUCCAUUAGAUAAUAUUUCUCUUUUUCCCCUUUAAAAUGGUUCUAACUAUAAAAAUUGCUCAAAUCAAAUUAAGUUAAAUUAUUUUAGCCAAAUAAAUUAAUUGUCGGAUAACCGCAUUAGCGGAUAUUCCAGGUGCUUUAAAAACCUUCCUAGAAUAUUAAUAGGAACCUCGAACCCCUCUUUAAAUAUUUUCAAUCGAUUUCCUGUUUUUUAUCGUUUGAAAAAUCAGUUUUUUUAAUUUUUCUACAAAAAUUAAGUGGCGACUCUAAAAUCAGUCUAAAUUAUAUUUUAAAAUAAAACAACUAUGAACUAAAAUUAUAGAAAUAUUUUAGAUCCCAAGGUAUUGAUAGCAAAAUAUUAGGCGAAAUGAAAUGGUCAAUUAUAUGAAUUAUUCAAAGUUUAAUAGAAUUAUUGAGAUUUUUUUUCAUAUUUACUUUUCAUUUAAUGAGGUUUUUAACUACUUUACAUUUUCUAUCAAAACAUGAUGGAGAUAUAGACCCUCUAAAAUAUGUGUUGGUGUGAAAUCCAAUGUUUCAGUUCCUUUGAAAUGGACGAUGGAUAAAGAUUUUUAAAAAUGUUAUAAAAAAAUUGACUAGUAUAAUAUGUUAGAUGAUGUGCUAAAUAAAUUAAACUAAUAAAUUUUAUUAGAUAUAUUUAUGUUGUUUGAAUUUUAAAAGUACUAUAUAUUGAUAAUGCAUCUUCACAUAAAAUUCAUGAAUUUACUCAUUUUAUUGGACACCUACCACUUAGGUUAUCUAAUAAUAAAUGUAUCGUGAGCCAAACUCCCCACUUGACGAUCCUUUUCAUCAAUCCGAUAAUCGUUUGUGAUGAAUUCUCAUAAAGCAUGUAGAUAAACUUCACUCUAUACAUUUUACAAAUAGCAGAAGAAAAAAUUGUCAUAACUAAAGCAAAUAUUAUUAAUAAAAUUUUUAAAAUAAUAACAUAAUAUCUUAUUUAUUCAAUAGCAUGAUAAUGUUUUCAAAGAUACGGUGAAUGAUAAAUUGACCUCAGUUUAUAAGUCUUUUUAAAAAGUGAAAAUAUAUAAGAUAAUAUUAAGGAUAUUUAUAAAGGAUUGUGACUAUUCCAUCUUUUGAACAUAACAAAACAUUCUUCAGGCUUGUACGUAGGAACCAGCUCUGUGUCAUGCUCCCUAUUAAAAAAAAAAAACAAAUAAAGUAAAAUAAUAAUAAUCAAAAGCUAUUAAAAAAAAUCAAUCUAGCUAAAUUAAGAUAAAUUAAUUAUCUCAAUUCUAAUAUAACUUAUAUAGUGUAAAAUUAGUGGCACAGUUAAUUUUAAAUACCUUCACGGUUGCACAAGUCAUUUUGUUGGAGUAAGAUCUCGUAUAACUACAAUGAUACGAUAUUAGAAAAAUGAUUAAGUACUAUCAACUAACUUAAUGAUUAGUUUUAAUUGAAAAUUCAUAAUUGUAAUUAAGGAUGUUAAAUUUGGAGAUUAAUCACUCAGCAACUUGAUUAUUUACGUUCCAUGGACACCAAUCAUCGUCAAUAGAGUAGUUUAGAGACUUUAUCCAUGUUUGUGUGUCUUGAAAAGGUACUAUAUAAUCAUGAUCUCCACUGUUAAAUUAAACAUGAAAAAAAAAACUUCCAUUAUAUAUAUAUAUAUAUAUUCAUGAAAUAAGUUGUUUCUGUUGGAAAGCUAUAUUUGAUGAUAAGGAACGAAUGGACCUCCUUUAAAGUUUUAUGACACAUAUUUGUGAACAAUUAAAUCCCAUAUCUCCAAAGACAAAUAUGUGCACAAAAUUGAAAGAGAGGUAGCAUUUCGUCAAAGGCAAAAGAGUAAAAAAGAUGACAGAGUCCAUAGAAGAGUCAAAACUGGAAAUAGUGAUGUUCCCAUGGCUUGCUUUUGGUCACUUAAUCCCAUACAUGAAUCUGUCAAAUGAACUUGCAAAAAGAGGUCACAAAAUCUCAUUCUUGUUGCCCAAAAAUGCUGAAGUUAGACUUCAAAAACUCAAUCUUUACCCAAAUCUCAUCACAUUACAUAAACUGACAAUGCCUCACGUUCAUGGCCUUCCAUAUGGAGCAGAGACUACAGCUGAUGUUCCUGGAUCCUUGGAGAGUCUAUUAGCAACAGCUUUUGAUGAAAUGUAUGGUGAAGUCAAAUCUUUUCUUCAAAAUCUGAAACCCCAUUUUGUUUUCUUUGAUUUUGCUUAUUGGAUUCCUGAUUUAGCACUAGAAAUUGGGGGUAUCAAGACUCUCUGUUACAAAGUUGUUUCCCCUGCUGUAACAUCUAUAGCUUUGAUUCGAUCAUCGGUUAAGACUACAUUUAUGGCAUCAACUGCAGCUGAGCUAGUAAAGCCACCACCAGAUUACCCUUCUACUACCGUGGUGUUGCGUGAAAGUGAAGCUAAGUUGUUAUCAUUUCUAUUUCAUGAAUAUGGCAAGGGGGUGACAUUUUACGAACGAUCCAAGAAGGGAAUGACAGGAUGCAACGCAAUAGGUGUGAAAACAUGUAGAGAGAUUGAAGGAACCUUUUGUGACUACAUAGCAACACAAUUUGAAAAGCCAGUCCUGUACACAGGGCCUGUUCUUGCUGAACCGACAAAGGGGCCUUUAGAAGAACAUGGAUUAUCGGAUUGGCUCGAGAAAUUCGAGGCAGGAUCAGUAGUGUUCUGUGCAUUUAGGAGCCAAAUGAUUCUUGAAAAGAAACAGUUUCAACAACUUGUUUUAGGCUUUGAACUGACUGAGUUACCAUUUCUUUUAGUUGUUAAGCCACCUGAAGGGACAAAUUCAGUAGAAGAAGCCUUGCCGGAGGGAUUCAAAGAAAGGGUUCAAGAAAAAGGAUUGAUUCUUGAUUGUUGGGUGCCACAAUUGGAGAUUUUAAGUCACAAAUCAGUUGGUUGUUUUGUGACUCACUGAGGUUAUGGGUCGAUGUGGGAGUCUUUGGCGUUGUGUGAUUGUCAAUUGGUACUUUUGCCAAGGCCUAUUGAUCACAUAUUAAAUGCUAGACUGAUGGAACAACAACUUAAGGUUGGUGUAGAAGUGGAGAAGGAUGAAAAUGAUUUGUUUACAAAGGAGAAUUUGUGCAAGGCUGUGAAAUGUGUUAUGGAUAAAGAUAGCCAAAAUUGGUCGUCUUGUGAAAGAGAAUCAUAAGAAAUGGAAGGAACUUCUUUCGAGUCCUGGCUUCAUGAGUAACUACAUCGAUAACUUCAUUCAAGACUUGCAUGAACUUCUAGUUCAAAAGACCUAGAUAAUUAGCAGAGGUGGAUCUAAUGUUGAAGUUACGAGUUUGCAGAAUUCAGUGUAUUGUGUUAAGAAAUUUUAUUUAAUAUGUAUGAAUAAUCCAUCCCAACCGAUUCAGAGUUUAUAAACUCAA